AAGGAAUUUCGUCUUUAUUACUUUGUAUUAUGUAUAUUCUGUCAAAUAUAAUCAUGUAAAUUGGGAAAGCUAAUGAACCUUUUUUUUUACAGCUUACACAACUUAUCCAAGGAAACAAUGCAGCAUCCUGUACUUAUUCACUGUCAAGAAGAUUAAAUAUAAAUUAAACGUUGUGGAAUAAAAAUCUAAUUAACUGUUGCAGGUUCUGUUGGAUUCGAACCGCCGGGUGGGGCAGGAGCCUUCAGCAGUACUUGCCUGAUAAUCAGAUCCUCAAUAGGGAAGUCCUGAUUAUGCAAAACAUCCUUCUUCACCGUCAUCAACUUGUCUUUCCCAUGAUACAACACUCUGCAGGCCCCAUUCGACUGCGUGUUCACAAGAAAAACCACUACCAUUGCCACCAAAAGUAUAUUUAAAAACUUCAUGUUGUUCCUUGUUUGGCAAACAACGACUUUAUUAAUUUGCUCUUUUUUUCUUCUCUUUUCUUCUCAAGCUGUAUGCAAUGCAAAUAAAAGAUGGAAAUCGGAAGGAUUGAGUUGCAAUGAAUAAUAAGUGGGGGAUAUUUUAUAGGGCUUGCUAGCUCUGCUAUUAUAUAUAUAUAUAUAUAUAUAUAUAUAUAUAUAUAUAUAUGAAAUAUUGUAUGGACUAACAGAACUGAUAUUAUACGACUUGAAAUUUUCAAUAACAUUUACCGAGCUAUAUUUAUAUGUUUUGACCAUUGACGGUCGUUUCAAAAUGUUAGAAAUUGAAUAGUAAACCGAGUGAGAAAUUUGGGAAUUGAUCAAAUUCAUUUGCUUCCUUGGCAAACUGAUGAGAACUGAUAACUAAAGGAUAUGGUGGGAAAGCGUUUACAAAGACCUUUGAAAGUUUGUAGUAUUGGGUGUGCUAACCUUUUACACGGCAUGAAUAUAAAAAAGUUGAAUUUUAUCGUUGAUCGCUGAAGUCCCAUUUGACCUUAAAUUAAUGUCAUGCAUGAUAUGAAGAAUGACUAGAUUAGUUUCUAUUAUGAUUUGGUGUAAUAAACAGUCUCACGAGGGAAUGCAUACACCAUACUUGUUUGCAAAUAACGUAUUUUCAUUAUACAAUUUUAUAAUCUUAACGCUAAAAUUGUUGUGGUAGAUAAGAUGAUGUCUUGUACUUUUUAUUUAAUUGUGAUAACACGCUUUGACUGUCGUAGAACUUCAAACUUUUCAUCAUGUCCAGAAUAGUAACGGGCACAGUGUCCGUGGUAGAUUGCAAUCAACCACGGGCAUUCACCAUGAUAGAUGUGGGUUUUUCUUCUUGUAUAUAUGUGUAAUGCUAGAGAGAGCAAAUUACUAAGCCAAAUGGUAUGAAUGUGGAUGUGGAUGAUUAGAUUAUAACUUAAGCAUUGAUUAACGUGCUUAUUUCAUGUCGGUGACACAUCAUUUGUUUGCAACUAGAAGAAAAAAAGCUCAUCUAUUAUGGUUGAUACCCAUGGUAGAUUGCAAUCCACCACGAACAAUGUGCCCGUUAGUAAUCUGGAUGUGAUAGAAAGUCAUAGUUUCAACUACAGGCUAUGCUCGUUGCCUAAUGUGAAGCAACCACGGAUUGUGCCCGUGGUAGAUUAAAAUCUAACACCACGUGCACUAUAGACGUUGUGGAUUCCAAAUUGACUGAAACCAAUGCCCGUUAUAAAACAAUUCCCAAAAUUUUUUUUUAAAAAAAAAUUAUUCAAUAAAAAUUAUAUAUAUAAAUAUUUAUAUACAAAUUGCAUAUUUACUACAAUAUAACGAUUACAUAAAAAAUCAUAGAUUAAAAUUUCAAAUAUUACAAGAUGUACACUAAAACUAAUAACAAACCAAUGAGUUAUACUAAGAAAUACCAAACCAUCCAAGAAGUAUCAAAUAGGCCAUAACAAGGACAUUGUCGCUUGAACACUUCAGAUUUCUUUGAAUACCUCCAAACGAAAGAACCUUGAGAGUGAAAUACUGCCCCUAAAGCUUGACCCUUAACAAUUGUUGCCUCUCUCUAUCUGCAUGGACAUAAGCAUAUGGAUCAAAAGAAAGAAAUUCUUGUACUGUUAUAGGCAGAAAUAAAAAUUUGAUCUCAAUCAAGAAAAGUGAAAAGACAUACAAAACUUGAAGCCAAAAGUUUUAUAUAUAUUUUUUUUUGUCAAAAAAAAGUCAAAAGUUAACUAGUAAAGACUUGUACAGAUAUACGAAUCUCCAAUAGUCCACAUAAGAAGCCAAAAAUCAACCAGUAAAGAAUCGAACAGAUAUAAAGACCUAACUCUAACAAGAGCAUGUAGUGCAAAAUUAGAAUUGCAUAUGCAGUGAAUGAAGUAAAUACAGAGCUUAACUUACAAUCAUCAAUUCUCAGGUUUCUAGGUAUUCCUCUCAACUGCUCUGCCUCUAAAACUAGCAUUUCAUGUACAGUUUUUGCCUCUAAACCUUUCUAUUGAUGCAUCCCUCUGAAACUACAUAUAUUUAUGCAAACAUAUACUAUACAAGAUUAAUCAAAUCAAUACCAUAAUCAGAAACUUUUUUGUUUUUUAAUAAACCAUAAACAUUAGUAACCAAACCAAUACUAUAAACUAAAUCAUUAAUUAGCCCAAAAAUUAAUAUCAAAUUUUUACCUUGUUUGCAAGUUCUUUGUGCAAAUAGAAACUGGAAACUGCAAAGCAAAGAAACCACGGCUUAAGAAUGAAACAUCACUCAAAAUUUAUAUUAAAAAAAACUUAAAACAUAUAAAAAGUUAAAAAUUACCUGUGGAGAAGAGUGCUAGCAUGUCUCAAAUCUAGAGUCUUGAAAUAUUAAUUUCAUUAGAUUACUAAUUCACGACUGACUGACGAUAACGAUUGAUUUUUAUUUUCCAUAUUCAACACCAGAAUUUGAUAACUUUUUCUCCAAAGGCUGCCCACUAAUUAAAGUUUUCAAUUAAACAAUUGGUGAUAAAAUCAAACUCCGCAAACUAAAAUUAUAAGCAUGAAUAAGCAUUGAGUUUGGUAUGAUUAAAGACCAAGAAGGGGAAAUUAGAAUCACAAUUUGGGAUGGAAUUCAAGAAACACAAUUCCAAAAAGAGUAUAAUCAGAAUCACACUUAAGGAGUUGGGAGUCAAAAUUGUCUAAAUAAUAUCAUUAAAUUCAGAUAACAACGAAAAAAAAAAAAAAAAACCAAGCACUGUGAUUGGAUUGCAAAACAAGCAUGCAAUUAAAAAACUAGUGCAGCCCUCAGUCUCUCAGUUUUCAAAAUCCUUAACCCCUUCAAUGCUCACCAUUCGAAACCCCAAAACACACAUUUUCAUAGAGAAAGCCAUAAAUCCAACUCCAUCUCUCUGGUUUUGAAACCCUAGCCCAAUCCCCGAUCCCUAAUCUUUCGAUUUUAAAACUUGAGAUCAAAAUCACCAAAAUGGAGAACUUGAAAUCAAAAUUGAAGAAGUAAUACCUUCAACGAAAUUUGGACAUAUGUAAAUCAAAAUCGAAUUUAAAUUCAAGUUCAAAAUCGAACUCAACUAGAAUUAGAUCGAAGCAAAAUCUAAUAAACAAUAGCAAUUUGAGAAAUCAAACUUAGAGAAAUAUAUAGAGCUCACACCUGAAGAAGUUAUAACAUAGAAAGAAAGAAUCACAAUUUCAUCAAUGGUGGAGAUUUGCCGCCUAAAAUUUAAUCGAUCUUAGAGAUCCAUUCCUAUUCCGCCACCGCCUCUGAAAUCCACCGAGAUAUACACCAGCGAGAUCUCGUGCUCUCUAGUUGGAGACGAAGACGAAGAUCCUAUAGAUUGGGAAUACCUGACAUGCCCAAAGAAAUAGAAAAAAAAAAUUAGGGUUCGAAUAGUGUAUACGAACAAGGCAAAGAAAUGAGUAGUUUGGGGUCGGAGUAAUUGUCGACAUAAGAAUAGGGGGUGAGACCUAGUGGUUGGCGGUGUCUGAUAUGAAAACGGUAAAUAGGUUUCAUUGAGAUCUGAAAUUUGAGUGUUUAUUCUUAUACUGGUUGAUUAAAAAAAUGAAAAAUUAUAAUUAUAACGACAAUACUUAUAGUUUGUGGUAGAUUUAAAAUGUCGCUGUUGUCAAAAUUUUUGUAACCACAGACAUGCCUCGUGAUAAUAUAUAGCCAAACCACAAUGGGCUUUAAACACACGUUGUUGCUUCAACACCUUCAAUCACCGAACACUCUACGCCUGUUGUUAAACUAAUUUAUUUACCACAAACUUCAAACGUCUGUCAUUAAAUUGGACUUUUUAUAACGGACUUCUUAUGUCCAUGGACAAUCAGCCAUGGUAGAUAUGGUGCUGUGGCGUAUAAAUUUGGUCCCUAGCAUUAUCUAUAGUUAACUGCUAUUAACCAUCCCAACUAAUCACCUCAUAGGAUGGUGACACGUGGCAUACACAAAGUGAUCACAUUUGUCACUUAAUGUUAUAACCCAAAAAAAGACGUGCGUCACUUAAUACAUUCCAUAUAUAUAUUUGGGAGUUUUAACGAAAAGCCCACGGUACUGUUCACUUUAAAAAAAAACCACAUUUUUACAUUAAAAAGUCAAACCUGAUACUAUUCACUUUACCCUUUAUUUUGUCCUUAUCGUUAAAACUCAAAGUUUUCAAGCAUUUUUCAUUAGUUUUCCUUUUGCAUGUAAAUUUUCUUGAUGAUUAUUAUUUUUAAAUGAUGCAAAACAACGUUAAUAAGUUUAAAUCAAACUCAACGGGGAGGAGCGUAUGAAUUAACACCAAAACCAUGGAUCCAACUAACAGCUAGCGCGCGCCAACUGUUUGAUAUAUAUUUUGAAUUUGAUGCUCCACAGUCCACAGGCAUAUAGUUCAUGAUAUUGCAUGACAUUGUAAAACAAAGAAAACGUUCAUAUGUUAUUGCAUGACUCGUUAUUAAUGCAUACUAAUUUCAGAUAUCAUGUAAUGUUAGACACUUUCAUACACCAUGCACUUUUUGUGAACUGAAAUAUUUAGUUGAAAGGAUUGGUGUUGGCUUCAAAUUGUGAAUGGCACUAUUUAGUUGAAAGGGUUUUUUUCUCCGGCACGAAUUAUUUUAUCAAUGUGACCGUCACAUGUAUUACCUAUCCAUUCAUGUUAUAAUGAGUGGAGUGCUAAAUAACACUAAGUGAUAGCUAAACCGUCUCACUUUAAAAUUAGACUAAAAAAGGUGCCUUAAUUUCAAACCAGAUAUGUAGAGCUUUCACUCUAACACAAACACACACAUUUGUGGUAUAAUACUUAUGUAUAUCUCUGCAAAACACUGUCAGAGGUGUUUGUAGACCAGGUAAUAUAUUUUCGCAAUUCUAUAGUUUAAUUUCUGGUCAACAAAAUGGUAUUUGAUUUUAAACUCAGUGUUAAAUUAAAAGGUAACAAACCCAUGCUAGAGCUACAGAUGCACACAGGCACAAAAAGAAAUUAAUAAAUAUAUAUAAUUUUAUCUGUACUUCGUAUUAUUCAGUCAAUUUCAUACACAUUAGGAACCUAAUACACUUUUUUUUUUUACAUUCUUACACAUCUUAUAUAAGAAAAAAAAAACCCUAGACUGCAAGUAUUUUCCUGUACUUAUUCACUGCUAAGAAAAUAUAUCAAAUGUUUAAAAGGGGUUAAAAAUUAAUUCUGCUAGUGCUUUUCGUUGAUGGUUGCAGAGUCUUUGGAAUUGGUACAACUUCAAGGUUUAGUCGGAUUAGGACCUCCGGGAGGGACAGUGCCCCUAAGUAUUUGCCUGAUCAAAGGGAAGAAGGGACGAUCCAUCUGAUGCAAAACAUCAUUCUUCAUCUGAUGCAUAAACUUUUCUUCUCCAUGCAACACUCUGCAGGCUUCGGAGGAUUGCAUGUUCAUAAGAAAAACCACUAAAAACACUGCCACCAAAAACAUUUUUAGAAACUUCAUUUUGUUGGGCAGACAAAGAUUAUUUUGCUUCUUUAUUCUGUGGAAGAAGAAGGAAUGAAUGAACGAAGAUAAAGAUAAAGGUUUGUUGGAAACUAAGAUUUUGCUUCUUUUGUCUGUCUGAAAAAUAGGAAGGAUUGAAGUAAUGAAUGAAUUGAAGGAAUGAAUAGAUGGAGAAUACGGGGGGGCUCUUUUAUAGGCAUCAAUUAAGACCAACUUUCAUUUGACUUUGAUUUUUAUAAAUCUAUUUGUUUGUUUUGACUUGGAAUUGAAUGGGUCGUCAUACCCGCAAGGGCUUUGGUUUUAACUUUUGAAUUGAAUGGGUCAUCAUACCCGUAAGGGCUUUGGUUUUAUGGCUUCACUAUAUUGUGGGCCUAUAACAAAUCAAGGCUAAUUAAUAAAACACAAUCCUUCUUUUUACUCUUAAGUUGAGCUAUAGCUUUGUUUUUUUUUUUUUUUUUUUUUUUUUUUUUGGAAACGAGCUAUAGCUUUGUUUACUUAAUUAAUCCAGACAGUAAAACCUCUAUAUAGUCAUCAUGUUAGAACCAAGAGAAUUUUAUAACUUUAGGGACGUUAUUACUUAAUAGAGGUGUAGCUAAAAAAUAUUAUUAGUGGAGUACGUCAAUUUCUAAGAUGUAACAUUGAAAAAAGAAAGACACUCAAUCUUUAAAAUCUAGUGCAUGUUGUAUGUAGUACUCUCUUUAAGUUUAAUGCUUAUCGGAAACAUGCUUGAGAAGCUAGAAACAUUUGGGCUUCAACAAGAAACCGUCCAUUUGACGAGAUAUUACGUACUCGCAAGCUCAAAAGCAUGAUAUCAACUUAAAAAAAAUAAUACAUUGUCUCAAACAAUUAUAGAGAAAUAUUUUAGUUCAUCUUAAACUUUUAUUUGUAGCGUUGCAUAUUUUUGUACUUAUUAAUGAUUAUUACUACAUGGGGGCGAGGUCUUAAUACGUGACCUAUAAAAAUCAUCUUAUUAUAAUGCGGAGUUUAUUCUUUACAUAUAUAACUGAGUGCAAGUUGGGACCAUAAAUUUUUAUCACAAUUAAGGAGGUUAUUCCUAUAUAGAGUAUUAUAAUAAAGAAGUUUUACUUUAUAUUUUGUAAUUAAGUUGUCCUGGUUCAAAUUUUUUUAUUAACAUUACUAAUGGUAUAGAGGUAUUUUGACGAACUCUUGUCGAGUUUUUUUACUAUUUUCUUGAAUCGCAAUUUUGAACAGAAAUUGGAGUUUUUGCAUGCAAGUAAAAGCGUGUAUAAGGCCUUUGAAGUUUGAACGUUGACUAUUUUAAUUGAAGUUUUAGUUGUCAGCUACGGUGUUGGUGUGUGCUAACCACAUAUAUACAUUACACACACAAAAAUUGAAUCAUAUUGUGAGACUGAAGUCUUAUUUGACGUGAAAUGUUUCCGAGCUGUGUUUAUUUAAUUAAUUAAGACCUCUCUAAAACUAAUUAAGACUUCUCUAAUCAGUAGCGGAUUCAGGAUUUUAAACUCGAGGGGUCUCAUUAAUAAAGGUCAAAAAAUUUAUCAAAAUUAACAUUGAAAAGUUAAAUAUAAUAUAUUUCAUUCAAAAAUCAUACGCAAAACAAUAUUACAAGCUAUAAAAUCCUAAUUCAAGUCACUAAAAAAAAACACUUUGCGCGACGCAGGUCAGUCGUCGCGCAAAGUAAAAAAACGUCGCGCAAAACCUUGCCCAACUCACCUUGGUCGCGCGCAAACCGUCGCGGCAAGGCAGUGACAGAAGGCUUUGCGCGACGCAUGUAACCCGUCGUCGCGCAAAGUGGAUUUUGCGCGACGCAGCUACGUCGCGCAAAGCUGUUUUGCGCGACGUAGACUACGUCGCGCAAAUCCACUUUGCGCGACGCAUGUAACCCGUCGUCGCGCAAAGUGGAUUUGCGCGACGUAGUCUACGUCGCGCAAAGUCAAGAGACGCUACUUUGCGCGACGUAUGAAACGUCGCGCAAAUCAACUUUGCGCGACGCAUGUAACCCUUCGUUGCGCAAAUCUACUUUGAGCGACGUAUGCUACGUCGCGCAAAGUAGCGUCGCUUGACUUUGCACGACGUAAACUACGUCGCGCAAAGUGGAUUUUUUUUUUUUUUUUUUUUUUUUUUUGAAGAAAUGGUCAAAAAUAUUAUUUUCUUUGUAAUUACAAUUAUAAACAAUAAUUAAUGCACCAAAGAAAAAUAUUUCAUUAUAAAUAUAUAUAUAGGGUUUAUACAUUUCCAUAUAAAUAUGGAAAUGUAUUGUUUAUGUCCGAAUGAAAAAGAAAAAAACUACAAGUAAUCUUCUUGGUGAAAUGGCUACUAGGUAUCAGUAGGGUGAAGUGGCUCGAAAGUCGAAGGUGUAGCAAGAUCAGGUACUACUGGUAGUGAGAUUUGGAGGCCAGUCAUCUGUAUGGCUCGUACAAGGUCUCUCACUUGGCCAGCAUAAGCCUGCAGCUGCUCGCCCUGGGCCCUUAUCUGCUCCCUCAUCUGCUCGCCCUGGACCUGAAGCUGACCCUGUAGGGUUGUCACUUGCUCCUUCAAUGAAUCGACCUCUGCGGUGUUCGAUCUGGAAGAAGAGGCACCAGUCUCACGAACUCGUGCUUUCCCCAUGCCACGAACAACCUUGCCAUGACGACGACCAAGGUUCUGAUCUAAGACAUCAGUCAUGAUCUGAAAACCUGCAUCCUCGGGUACCGGGACGUCCUCAAUCGGGGUCUCAGGGGGAAGCUGCGAUGUUGCUUCUUGGAUAACAGCAGUGCGCUUUUCCACCAUAAGAGCCUGUAAUAAUAAAGAAAAAAACAUAUAUAUAAAUAAUAUUUGAACGAUUCAUGCAUACAUAUAAGAAUAAUAACAAUUACAUUUACUUACAUGAAGAUGCUCACUGUUCGCAUCUCCAGGUCGAACGUAAACAUCCUCGAACAUGUCGAUCUCUGGGAACUUAGAACCCUCCUGAAGAAAAAAAAAACAUUAAGAAAAUUUUAUUAAUCAAUAAUAAUAAAUAAAUUGUAUAAAAUUUCUAAAUUAAUAUACUUUUACCUGACGUCGUGCCUCAAGCCUAUACGAAAAGGGCUUCGAACCGGAAUGGUGAAGAAGUGUCUUUGACUCCCGAGCUAUCUUGCCAGCAACAGAUUUCUUCUGUUAAACACACAAUAUACAUGUUAGUGCGACUAUUUCAAAUAAAUUAAUAAAAAAAACCUUAAAAAUAACUAAAACAAUAAGAAAUUAUUAUUAAAAUAUUAUGUACAUACCACAAAUUUUGGGUCCGUAAAAUGUUUGCAGAGCCACUCCCAAUCCUCUGGCCGGUCCUUCAACUCGCUUGGGCAACCACUUAGGCGAGCAAUCUCCAAAGUAUCCCAUAGCUGAAAAUGCGUGUGAAGAUAGUUCUUCCAAUGUUUGUACCGGGUUGCUAAGGUCUCGUCUAAGUAGGCCUUGACCUCGGGGGAUAUAUCAUCAAGAUCAAAAAUGACCUACGAAUAUGAAAAACAAUAAAAUAAUAAUAAGAUAAUAUUAAGAUAUAAUAUAAUUUGGUUUUUAUUAUUUGUAAACAAAACUAAAAAAAUGAUAUUGAAUUCGAAUUUGUUUAUUUAGAUAAAAAGAAUGCAAGAAUCGUAAAUAUAAUUUAUGAACCCAAUGACAUUCAUGAACAAGCAACUCAAACAUGGCAUAAAGUACAAGAUUAUAAUAAACAAGAUUCAAUAAGAUUAGCUUAUGAAUUUGAAAAAGAAACAUAAGAGUUAAUUUCAAAUUUGAUGAAAUAGAUCAAAAUGAAUUAAAUAACUAGAUAAAAGAGUUAGAUGAUUGAAUUUCAUUACCAAAUUCGAAACAUACCUAAGUAAUCCAGUAAGUCAAAAUGAAUAUACAGAACAUCAAGAAGAACAAUAUUUUUAUGAAGAACCAAGUAGUUAAAGGAUAAAGAUUAAUAUACUAACAAACAACUUCAUUAUAAAGGCUAAAAAUUAAUAUACUAACCGACAACUUGUCUCGCACCAAAUCCUUCGUCCUAUCGGGAAUUUCUGCCCACUUCUCCCACUGCAUAGGACAAUUUUGUUUAAUAACAACACCACAGCUACUAACGACGAUGCUAUGCUGUUGUGCUGUAGCAGCUCCACGAUGUACCGGGUCAUACUCAAUCUUGAUCUUAGAGCCAGUCAAACGUACACUCUGUGCUGGCUUCAGCAUUCGACUAGGCCCCCUAGUUUUUUUUUUAGCUAGCCAAAAAUACUUAAAUGGUGAAAACCCUAAGCUUAAAUUUGCACAGAAAAUUCGACAUAACUUCCCCUAAUAGUAAAGCAUUUCCCAAAACCUUAAAACAUUAAAAUAACAGUAAUUCACAACCCACAACACAUUUUCACAAUCUAGCAAAUUUUCAGCAUCAUAAAAAUAAUACUUUUAAAAUGAAAAAAAAAAAUACAACGUAGUGAUCGAGAAUUAGAAAAAAACUACCUGGCUGGGAGGCCUCACCCUCAACCCUGGAUGCUGAGGAAGUGUGAUCAUAAGGGUCCGGCUCGCGACGACGCCGGUGAGGCCGCCGUGCACUGAGCGGGUGAACGGACACUGAUGACGUCGAUGAGACAGGCACCUGGGACGCCGUAGGAGUAGCCUCAAUAAAGGGAGUAGGCUCCCCAUUCAAUGGAGCACUCACGCAUGGAGCAGUAGAUGCUGAUAAUGUGGGAGGCGCAUUGGUCACACUCCGACGACGAGUGAUCAAAUGCGACAUCUAUACACUUUUUAAACCAUAAAAUUAUAACAUUAGAAACUAAUCAAUUAGCAACCAAAGUAAUAAGUAGGUUACCAACAUUCUUAAUUUCAAAAAAAAAGUACGGACAAUGUAUAUUUAAAUUGAGCAAGUAACAAAUUAUAUGCAACAACCUUAUGAACAACCUUGUGUAUAUGUGUGUGUGGAUCAACAAUUAGAUACACAAAAUAAAUGUCACUGGUGUAUGGCUGAUAUUAUUCAUUUGCAAUUUGCCACUAUCUGGUGAUUCACUUAUUGUCAGCUACUGUCCAGAGAUAUCACUACCAUGCACCAACUUUUUACUUGUCCUAGAGUUGAUACUUCAUUUUAUUUCAAGGAAUAAGGUGAUACAAAAAGAGGAUGAUGAAAAAGAAGAAACAAUAUCUUCCCCAAUAUGAAGAAUCAGAACGAAAAGCUAAAUCACAUAAGUUAUGACAUUAAACAACAGAAAAAGAUGAAAUUUAAGUCAUUUUUCGAUACAAGGGAUGAAGACUCAAAUUCAAGUCUUAUUUUCGGUAAUCUAGUUAUGUAGUUAAGAACUGUGAUAUCAAGCAAAGUAGGAAACCCAUUAAUCCAUUUAAAAAGAAAAACUUAAAUUACUAAUAUGGUUAAACUAAUAAAACUAUUAUAAAAAUUAAAACAGAAUAAGAAAUGGAAAUUCCAAAAUGCAGUGGCAAACAUUUUGCAAUCCAUCAUCCAACCAACUAAUCUUCCAAUAUUUGCAUAUAGAUACAUAUAUGUACACACACAUAUAUAUGCUUGGAAUAUGUAUUUAAUUAUUGCAGAGAAGCAAAACAGAGAAAUGAGAAAAUUAAAGGGAAAAGGAAAAGCAGAGAAGAGAAAGAGAACUGAGACUAGAAGAGUAAAUCACCCAUGAGUUCUAACUUCCUAUGUAUGGUAUAUUCCAAGGUCCUAACUUGUACAUCAAAGAGUAAAUUACAAGUCUUCUCUCCCCUCUUAACUUGUACAUCCAAGGUCCUAAAUAUAUCUAGUAAAGGCAUGUGCUUCACCUAAUAUCCUCUAUAAACAAACAGGGGAAAUUACACAAAGGCUUUGACUUUCGGUGAAGGUCAGAUUCAUUUCAAAAAUGCUCAAAUUAUGCUCUACAUACUCAAAUCAAUUUUGGUAAUAACUCAUAAAAACUGCCAAACAUAAAAAAAAAAACAAAAAACAAAAAACAAAAACAAAAACAAAAACAAAGACAGUUUAACAAAUGUUGAUGACUUUGAAGAAUGGGGCAGAGAGACUUGAGUCUAAUGAGCUCAGCAACUGCUUCCAUUUGUAGCGUCUUAGCACAUUACUUUACAUAAAGUGCAUGGAGGACUCUUAGAUAACAACAGCUUCAAGAAUUUAUAGUUUACAAGCAUUUGUCAAGGUUAAUCAAUAUUUUAUGUCCCAAUUUUUUGGAUUAUUGAAUACAUUUGAUUUGAUAUUAUGUUAUGUGAGUCCACCUUCGCAUCCUAAAUCGACAAAAUUGCAAAAGCUUCACCGAAAACACCUUCAUGUUCAUACACAAAAUACACAUACAAAUCAACAAAAUUGCAAAAACUUCACACAAUCAACUUGAAUCACAUCACAAAAAAAAUCAAUUUGACAAAACCCAACAUGCAAUUUGAACCUAAACCCUAAAUAACAAAAACCCAUAAAAAAUCAGAAACCCUCACCUUGAAUUUGGGACUUGAUUCGCGUCAGUUUCCAGAUUCGCGUCACUGCCCGUCGUUUAGAACGAGAGGGAGAGAGACAACUGACAGAGUAGUGGUGGUGAUGGUUGGAUUCGUGAUUGUGAAGAGGAAAGCUUGUGAAUGAGAGGGAGAGAGAUAUGUACGGGAAAAAGAGGAGAGAUGAGCAAGAGGGUUAUACAGGAAAGAGGGAAAGAAAGGUGAGGAAGAGGGUGGGAAAGAGGGAAAGAGAGGUGAGCAAGGGAACCAUACGGGAAAGAGGGAAAGAGAGGAUAGAUGAGCAAGAGGUUAUAUGGGAAAGAGGGAAAGGCCGAAAGAGUGCAAGAGGGAAGAGAGGUCUAUUAAUUAUACGGGAAAGAGUCGAAACUUAGGAAAAAUUGAAACAAAGCGCCUUUUUUUCACUGCUGCAUUGGAGCGCGAAAUUUAUCAUAUCUUGCGCGACGUUGGUAUACAAUUUGAUGUCGCGCAAAGUGCUUUUGCGCGACGACCAUGUUAAGGCGUCGCGCAAAGUUUUUUUUUUUUUUCAAUUAUUAUAAAAAUUACUGAAAAUAUGACUUUACUGCUUUCAAAUUCAAUUUUUUUUUACAUAAACCCCAAAAUAAUAUAUUUUUCUAAUAAAAACCAACAAAUUUUUAUUUUUACAUAUAUAUAUCAUUCAAUUUCUUAAGUGUUAUAAGUAUUAUAUAAAUAAAUUAAAAUCUAUUUAGUAAAUAUAUAUAUCAUUGAACUUGAUCAAAAACGCGUUGUACGAAAUCCACUAGUAAAUAUAUAUCUAAUUAGUUAAUAUAUAUAUGUAAUUAUAUUAUAUAAUUAUUAUAGUUUUUAGGGGUAUUAAAUCAUUGUAUUCAUAUAGGGUCAAGGAGUGUAGCUGCAAAAAAUCAUCAAAAUCGGAGUAAAAAUGACCGUUAAAUCAUGAUUUAUCUUUUUAUAACCGUCGAAAAGUUUUGUCCGGUUACUUGAUCUUUGAAUGUUUGUUUUUUGCAAUUUUUGGCGUAUGAGAUCUCGAAGUAUAUACAAACAUGUUUGACGGUUGGAUCAUUGAAACUAGUUUCGUAGAAUGAGUAUCCCAUCAAAACAAUAGAUUCACUAAUACUUAAGAAUUUAUUUAUACUUUCAUUAAGUAUAACAUAAGAUUUUUUUGGUAUCCAUUAGUGUAAAUAUUUUAAAUUGAAGAUCGAAUUCAAUCAUUGUAUUCAUAUAGGGUCAAGGAGUGUAGCUGCAAAAAAUCAUCAAAAUCGGAGUUAAAAUGACCGUUAAUCAUGAUUUUUCUUUUUAUAACCGUCGAAAAGUUUUGUCUGGUUACUUGAUCUCUGAAUGUUUGUUUUUUGCAAUUUUUGGCGUAUGCGAUCUCGAAGUAUAUACAAACAUGUUUGACGGUUGGAUCCUUGAAACUACUUUCGUAGAAUGAGUAUCCCAUCAAAACAAUAAAUUCACUAAUACUUAAGAGUUUAUUCAUACUUUCAUUAAGUAUAACAUAAGAUUUUUUUGGUAUCCACUAGUGUAAAUAUUUUAAAUUGAAGAUCGAAUUCAUUCAUUGUAUUCAUAUAGGAUUAAGGAGUGUAGCUAUAAAAUAAUCAAAAUCGGAGUUAAAAUAACCGUUAAAUCGUGAUUUUUUUCGUUUUUUAACCAUUGAAAAGUUUUGUUCGGUUACUUAAUCUCUGAAUGUUUGGUUUUUGCAAUUUUUUGCUGAUACGAUCUCGAAGUAUAUACAAACAAGUUUGACGGUUGGAUCGUUGAAAUUAGUUUCGUAUAAUUCGUAUCCCAUCAAGUUCAAUGGUGUGUAUAUAUAUAUAUAUAUUUAUUAAGUAGAUUUAAAUCUCUUUAUUUUGUACGUAUAAUUUACUGGUACACGAAGUAGUAUAUUACGUGUCAUUAUAAAAAUAGUGGGAUAUGUCAUAUAUGUGAUAAAAAGUUAAUAACUUAAAAAAAAAAAAUUUCUCACAACUUUUAUUAAUUUUCAUUUUCCCUCUCUUUUUUGUUUCAUUUUCUUUUUUCCGUGUCGUGUCGUGUCGUGUUAUUGGGUCGUGUCAGGAAUUGUCAGGCAUAUCUUCCAUAGUUCAUAUAUUCCCAUAAUACUAUAUAUGUAUCUCAUUUUAUGCUUGGCCUAAUAAAUAAAAGAUACCGUUAUUUUAGAGGAACUUUGGCUUGGUAUUUGCUUAAACUACAAGAAAUAUUAAUUUGUAAACACAUAUUAAGUCCCAACCAAAACCAUUUUGCCACCAACUCUUCCACUAACGCCAGCUCCUGUGUGCACCUCAAAAUCCUUAGCCUCCAUCACAUGUUCAGUUGAUCCAAACGUCUUUAGCAGCCUCUUACAAUUCAAACAAAUCACAAUUCUUCUCAGGCAUUAUCUCGAACACUUUAGCUGCAUCCUCAACCGACCCGCAUUUCCCAUACAUUGCAAUCAACGCAUUGCCUACAAACACAUCCGAAAUCAGUCCCAUCUAUUGAUCAAAUCCACAAACACAUCAAUGGCAUCAACAAAAAGCUCGUUUCUUGCAUACCCACUAACAAGCGCAUUCCACUGGAACAAGUUCUUCCUCUUCAGCCCGUCGAAAACUGAGCGGGAAUCCAAAGGAGAACCGCACAUUGCACAUGGUAAUGAUGCGUGUGUUGAGAACAAAAUCACAGUUGAAAACGGUCAACGCAGAGACCAAGUUGUGGACUUUGCGUCCGGUUUCGACGUACUUCUGGCGCCCGCAGGCCUGUAAAGAGGCUCCCAUGGCGUCCUUCCCUUGCUAUGAGCUGGAAACUGCAUCGUGAGAGUGUAAUUGAAAAAGGUCAGAGCCUCCGAGAGGUUUUCAUCCUAACUACUCUACAAACACUAACAUUUUUAAUGCAACUAAGCAAAUGAAGCUUUUAAUGUACAAAUUUGAAAAUAUAAGCACCAACCUCUGUGGCAAUAGAUACAGCACAGAACUCCUCAAUUGAGUAAUUGGAAACGAGCACUGCAUUAACUACCGUUUCCCAACUGUCAGAGUUCCUGUUAUAUCAAAGACAACCGUGUUCACCUGCAGGGAUCAAACACAUGUCAGUAAACGUCCAGACAUCAAUAAAGUGUGAAAUGCUAAAAAAUUUAUCAACCUUCAUGACUUAGGUACCUUCAUGCCCUUUUGUUCAACUUUUAAUUUUAGAAAGGAAAAAAAAAAAACAAAAAGAACGAAACAAUUAUUAGCCUUGUUUAUUAAAAUUAAUAUAAUUCAGGAUCCAAUCAAUCAAGUUACUAAACUACAUGUAAAUCAACACAAAUGGCAUAUUUGAUAAACACUAAGAUUUACUGCAAUAGAUAACCGCUUGAGCGGCAGAGACUAUCGCUUGAGCGGCAGAACUCAGUCAUACUACAGCUUGAGCGGCAGAGACCACCGCUUGAGCGGCAGAACUACAGCUUGAGCGGCAGAGACCACCGCUUGAGCGGCAGAACCCAAUUAUACCAAAAUCAAUGCAUGGACUGAUAUACAUGAAUAAGCAUGCAAACCUGAACUUGAAGCCAUGAUCUGUUUUAGGAUGUAUCUUCCCUUCUCUUGUACGACUACAAUGGAUGUAUUAGGUUUCAAAUGGGGCAACCUUGCUUAACUGUGAAUCAUCCAUAUUUAUACCGAGAAGAGGGACCAAUCCCAUUCUAUAUCUGAUAACUGCCUUAUCCCAUUAAUAAUGCAGUUAUCUUCAGUUAUUAUUAAGCCAACUGUUCUUCAUUAAUUCAAACAUGGCUUAAUCACAUUUUUCCCUCCAGUAUGUUUUACUUCAUUCGAAUAUAAAACCUUAAGAAGUCUAACCAUAUAUACAGCUCAUUUACCAAGUUCAGCUGCAAUCGGCAGUUUGAUGAACUCACAUAUAUGAAUUCAAGAAUGAUGAAAUCACAUGAAUUCUUACAUUGUUAUCAGAAAAGGAGUUGGGGAGAACUCUCCCUCAAUGAGAGCUGUUAUCUACAAGAAACUGGGAUCUAAAACUUGGCGAGUAUGGCUUGACAUGGACAAGGCCACCAAUCGUCAGAACCAAAGAGUCAUAUGAGACAGAUUCCAACUAUGAAAUGAUUGUUGCAUGUUCAAUCCCAAUACACUUGCACCCUCAGACAUAUGGAUAGUAUCUAAUCAGUAAUUGUCUUUUCCUAAUACCAAAACAAACAGGUUUUCGACGUCAUCGGAAGGAAAAGUAAGUAGGAACAAGUAUAAUGAAGGUACACCAGCAAAAAAAACAUGAAAUAAAAAUGCAUGAAAAGUUGAAAACCCAGAUUCUAAAUUGAAAAGCAAUUUGUUUCAACCAUUACUGCCGUAGGGAUUGCUAGUCCCAUGGCAAAAGGGCAAGCAACCACUAAUACUGAGAUACCGAAUUGUAAUGCCAGCUCAAAUUUAUCCAUGCCUUUUGGUAUCUAGUUUUCCGGAAAAAAGACCAAAUUCUCCAGGGAUGAACCAUCCAAGCCAUGUCAAAAAUGCAACAAUGACAACCUGAUGUAGGAAAGAAAAAAAAAUCAAUCAUGCAAUUGAAAAAUUGUCAUAAUAACGCAAUUAUCAAAUGCAACUAAGAGUAAAACAAAUAUAAAGAUAACAUAAAACAUACAACUUACAUGAUAUCUUUAUCUUUAUAGAAUGGAGACGAUGAGAUAAUUUGUUGGGAAUAUUAGUGUGGUAGAUGAGAAGCGGUGUUAAACCCUCAGCCUCCUGCUUUUUCCUUCACAAGUUUAUAUUAAUCCUCAUCCGAACUACAAUAAUAACUCUCACUAUCAUCACUACUACCAUUUCCGGAUUCCCAUUCGUCCUCAUCUUCGUUUGCCUUUUCCGCUGCAUUGUAUUGAGGUAGAUCACCAAGGUCAAUUGAUAUUUCGAAUUCGGGAACUCCAGGUACGUCAAACGGUUCUUGGACAAUAUUAGUAUCCCGAAGUGUUUCUUCACCAAUUUCUAUCGAAGAUGAUAACUGUUGGUCAGCGACAUUGUCGUCGUUCUCAUCAUGAUCUAGUUCCGGAAUAUCAUAUAGCCCUCUUCGAUCAAUCUUCUGAACAACUUUCCAACCAUUGCCGGCUUUAGGGGUCGUCUAGAUAGAAUAUUUGUUUCGCCAUAGUUGCCAAAAUGUAUGGGUCUUCAUCGUACCAAUGUCUCGUAGUGUUUACUGAUAGUAAACCAUGAUCUUGCUUAACACUCGUUCGGUUAUGUGGGUUUGUAUCAAACCAAAGACACUUAAACAGUAUCACUUGACACCUGUCUUUGUAAAGCAAUUGUACUACACACAAGUUAGUUUGCCAUAGAAAUCAAUGUCUUCACUGUCGCCAGCACCUGGGACAUGGACACCACUAUUUUGAGUAGACAACUUGUCAUCACGUGUUGCCCCUAAGAACUUGAUCCCAUUUACAUGACAACCCGAGAACAAUUCAACAUGAAGUGGUCCUCUCGCCAAGUUAUAUAAUUCUUCAUCGUAAGAGGGUGAAUUCAAUUCCUUCAAUUUGUUCAUCUAAUAUAACAUAUACAAAAAGUUAACUUGUUAAUGUAACCAAAUUUAAAGACAGGCAUGAACAAGUUGGAAAAUAUGCUUAAUUCAAACCACAUAAAACUUACAUGUGCGUGAAACCACGAAGGAAACAAAUCACGAUGCUUCUUCGCAUAUAAAUGUGAAGGAUGUUCCCGCUUCAUCAACCGUUCAUGCUCUUCAAGGUAUGGCAAAGCCUCGUGACAAUUGNNNNNNNNNNNNNNNNNNNNNNNNNNNNNNNNNNNNNNNNNNNNNNNNNNNNNNNNNNNNNNNNNNNNNNNNNNNNNNNNNNNNNNNNNNNNNNNNNNNNNNNNNNNNNNNNNNNNNNNNNNNNNNNNNNNNNNNNNNNNNNNNNNNNNNNNNNNNNNNNNNNNNNNNNNNNNNNNNNNNNNNNNNNNNNNNNNNNNNNNNNNNNNNNNNNNNNNNNNNNNNNNNNNNNNNNNNNNNNNNNNNNNNNNNNNNNNNNNNNNNNNNNNNNNNNNNNNNNNNNNNNNNNNNNNNNNNNNNNNNNNNNNNNNNNNNNNNNNNNNNNNNNNNNNNNNNNNNNNNNNNNNNNNNNNNNNNNNNNNNNNNNNNNNNNNNNNNNNNNNNNNNNNNNNNNNNNNNNNNNNNNNNNNNNNNNNNNNNNNNNNNNNNNNNNNNNNNNNNNNNNNNNNNNNNNNNNNNNNNNNNNNNNNNNNNNNNNNNNNNNNNNNNNNNNNNNNNNNNNNUUGUUUUUUUUUUUUUUUUUUUUUUUUUUGGAAACGAGCUAUAGCUUUGUUUACUUAAUUAAUCCAGACAGUAAAACCUCUAUAUAGUCAUCAUGUUAGAACCAAGAGAAUUUUAUAACUUUAGGGACGUUAUUACUUAAUAGAGGUGUAGCUAAAAAAUAUUAUUAGUGGAGUACGUCAAUUUCUAAGAUGUAACAUUGAAAAAAGAAAGACACUCAAUCUUUAAAAUCUAGUGCAUGUUGUAUGUAGUACUCUCUUUAAGUUUAAUGCUUAUCGGAAACAUGCUUGAGAAGCUAGAAACAUUUGGGCUUCAACAAGAAACCGUCCAUUUGACGAGAUAUUACGUACUCGCAAGCUCAAAAGCAUGAUAUCAACUUAAAAAAAAUAAUACAUUGUCUCAAACAAUUAUAGAGAAAUAUUUUAGUUCAUCUUAAACUUUUAUUUGUAGCGUUGCAUAUUUUUGUACUUAUUAAUGAUUAUUACUACAUGGGGGCGAGGUCUUAAUACGUGACCUAUAAAAAUCAUCUUAUUAUAAUGCGGAGUUUAUUCUUUACAUAUAUAAACUGAGUGCAAGUUGGGACCAUAAUUUUUAUCACAAUUAAGGAGGUUAUUCCUAUAUAGAGUAUUAUAAUAAAGAAGUUUUACUUUAUAUUUUGUAAUUAAGUUGUCCUGGUUCAAAUUUUUUUAUUAACAUUACUAAUGGUAUAGAGGUAUUUUGACGAACUCUUGUCGAGUUUUUUUACUAUUUUCUUGAAUCGCAAUUUUGAACAGAAAUUGGAGUUUUUGCAUGCAAGUAAAAGCGUGUAUAAGGCCUUUGAAGUUUGAACGUUGACUAUUUUAAUUGAAGUUUUAGUUGUCAGCUACGGUGUUGGUGUGUGCUAACCACAUAUAUACAUUACACACACAAAAAUUGAAUCAUAUUGUGAGACUGAAGUCUUAUUUGACGUGAAAUGUUUCCGAGCUGUGUUUAUUUAAUUAAUUAAGACCUCUCUAAAACUAAUUAAGACUUCUCUAAUCAGUAGCGGAUUCAGGAUUUUAAACUCGAGGGGUCUCAUUAAUAAAGGUCAAAAAAUUUAUCAAAAUUAACAUUGAAAAGUUAAAUAUAAUAUAUUUCAUUCAAAAAUCAUACGCAAAACAAUAUUACAAGCUAUAAAAUCCUAAUUCAAGUCACUAGUAAAAAAAACACUUUGCGCGACGCAGGUCAGUCGUCGCGCAAAGUAAAAAAACGUCGCGCAAAACCUUGCCCAACUCACCUUGGUCGCGCGCAAACCGUCGCGGCAAGGCAGUGACAGAAGGCUUUGCGCGACGCAUGUAACCCGUCGUCGCGCAAAGUGGAUUUUGCGCGACGCAGCUACGUCGCGCAAAGCUGUUUUGCGCGACGUAGACUACGUCGCGCAAAUCCACUUUGCGCGACGCAUGUAACCCGUCGUCGCGCAAAGUGGAUUUGCGCGACGUAGUCUACGUCGCGCAAAGUCAAGAGACGCUACUUUGCGCGACGUAUGAAACGUCGCGCAAAUCAACUUUGCGCGACGCAUGUAACCCUUCGUUGCGCAAAUCUACUUUGAGCGACGUAUGCUACGUCGCGCAAAGUAGCGUCGCUUGACUUUGCACGACGUAAACUACGUCGCGCAAAGUGGAUUUUUUUUUUUUUUUUUUUUUUGAAGAAAUGGUCAAAAAUAUUAUUUUCUUUGUAAUUACAAUUAUAAACAAUAAUUAAUGCACCAAAGAAAAAUAUUUCAUUAUAAUAUAUAUAUAGGGUUUAUACAUUUCCAUAUAAAUAUGGAAAUGUAUUGUUUAUGUCCGAAUGAAAAAGAAAAAAACUACAAGUAAUCUUCUUGGUGAAAUGGCUACUAGGUAUCAGUAGGGUGAAGUGGCUCGAAAGUCGAAGGUGUAGCAAGAUCAGGUACUACUGGUAGUGAGAUUUGGAGGCCAGUCAUCUGUAUGGCUCGUACAAGGUCUCUCACUUGGCCAGCAUAAGCCUGCAGCUGCUCGCCCUGGGCCCUUAUCUGCUCCCUCAUCUGCUCGCCCUGGACCUGAAGCUGACCCUGUAGGGUUGUCACUUGCUCCUUCAAUGAAUCGACCUCUGCGGUGUUCGAUCUGGAAGAAGAGGCACCAGUCUCACGAACUCGUGCUUUCCCCAUGCCACGAACAACCUUGCCAUGACGACGACCAAGGUUCUGAUCUAAGACAUCAGUCAUGAUCUGAAAACCUGCAUCCUCGGGUACCGGGACGUCCUCAAUCGGGGUCUCAGGGGGAAGCUGCGAUGUUGCUUCUUGGAUAACAGCAGUGCGCUUUUCCACCAUAAGAGCCUGUAAUAAUAAAGAAAAAACAUAUAUAUAUAAUAAUAUUUGAACGAUUCAUGCAUACAUAUAAGAAUAAUAACAAUUACAUUUACUUACAUGAAGAUGCUCACUGUUCGCAUCUCCAGGUCGAACGUAAACAUCCUCGAACAUGUCGAUCUCUGGGAACUUAGAACCCUCCUGAAGAAAAAAAAAACAUUAAGAAAAUUUUAUUAAUCAAUAAUAAUAAAUAAAUUGUAUAAAAUUUCUAAAUUAAUAUACUUUUACCUGACGUCGUGCCUCAAGCCUAUACGAAAAGGGCUUCGAACCGGAAUGGUGAAGAAGUGUCUUUGACUCCCGAGCUAUCUUGCCAGCAACAGAUUUCUUCUGUUAAACACACAAUAUACAUGUUAGUGCGACUAUUUCAAAUAAAUUAAUAAAAAAACCUUAAAAAUAACUAAAACAAUAAGAAAUUAUUAUUAAAAUAUUAUGUACAUACCACAAAUUUUGGGUCCGUAAAAUGUUUGCAGAGCCACUCCCAAUCCUCUGGCCGGUCCUUCAACUCGCUUGGGCAACCACUUAGGCGAGCAAUCUCCAAAGUAUCCCAUAGCUGAAAAUGCGUGUGAAGAUAGUUCUUCCAAUGUUUGUACCGGGUUGCUAAGGUCUCGUCUAAGUAGGCCUUGACCUCGGGGGAUAUAUCAUCAAGAUCAAAAAUGACCUACGAAUAUGAAAAACAAUAAAAUAAUAAUAAGAAAUUUAAUAAUAUUAAGAUAAUAUAAUUUGGUUUUUAUUAUUUGUAAACAAAACUAAAAAAAUGAUAUUGAAUUCGAAUUUGUUUAUUUAGAUAAAAAGAAUGCAAGAAUCGUAAAUAUAAUUUAUGAACCCAAUGACAUUCAUGAACAAGCAACUCAAACAUGGCAUAAAGUACAAGAUUAUAAUAAACAAGAUUCAAUAAGAUUAGCUUAUGAAUUUGAAAAAGAAACAUAAGAGUUAAUUUCAAAUUUGAUGAAAUAGAUCAAAAUGAAUUAAAUAACUAGAUAAAAGAGUUAGAUGAUUGAAUUUCAUUACCAAAUUCGAAACAUACCUAAGUAAUCCAGUAAGUCAAAAUGAAUAUACAGAACAUCAAGAAGAACAAUAUUUUUAUGAAGAACCAAGUAGUUAAAGGAUAAAGAUUAAUAUACUAACAAACAACUUCAUUAUAAAGGCUAAAAAUUAAUAUACUAACCGACAACUUGUCUCGCACCAAAUCCUUCGUCCUAUCGGGAAUUUCUGCCCACUUCUCCCACUGCAUAGGACAAUUUUGUUUAAUAACAACACCACAGCUACUAACGACGAUGCUAUGCUGCUGUGCUGUAGCAGCUCCACGAUGUACCGGGUCAUACUCAAUCUUGAUCUUAGAGCCAGUCAAACGUACACUCUGUGCUGGCUUCAGCAUUCGACUAGGCCCCCUAGUUUUUUUUUUUAGCUAGGCCAAAAAUACUUAAAUGGUGAAAACCCUAAGCUUAAAUUUGCACAGAAAAUUCGACAUAACUUCCCCUAAUAGUAAAGCAUUUCCCAAAACCUUAAAACAUUAAAAUAACAGUAAUUCACAACCCACAACACAUUUUCACAAUCUAGCAAAUUUUCAGCAUCAUAAAAAUAAAUACUUUUAAAAUGAAAAAAAAAAAUACAACGUAGUGAUCGAGAAUUAGAAAAAAACUACCUGGCUGGGAGGCCUCACCCUCAACCCUGGAUGCUGAGGAAGUGUGAUCAUAAGGGUCCGGCUCGCGACGACGCCGGUGAGGCCGCCGUGCACUGAGCGGGUGAACGGACACUGAUGACGUCGAUGAGACAGGCACCUGGGACGCCGUAGGAGUAGCCUCAAUAAAGGGAGUAGGCUCCCCAUUCAAUGGAGCACUCACGCAUGGAGCAGUAGAUGCUGAUAAUGUGGGAGGCGCAUUGGUCACACUCCGACGACGAGUGAUCAAAUGCGACAUCUAUACACUUUUUAAACCAUAAAAUUAUAACAUUAGAAACUAAUCAAUUAGCAACCAAAGUAAUAAGUAGGUUACCAACAUUCUUAAUUUCAAAAAAAGUACGGACAAUGUAUAUUUAAAUUGAGCAAGUAACAAAUUAUAUGCAACAACCUUAUGAACAACCUUGUGUAUAUGUGUGUGGAUCAACAAUUAGAUACACAAAAUAAAUGUCACUGGUGUAUGGCUGAUAUUAUUCAUUUGCAAUUUGCCACUAUCUGGUGAUUCACUUAUUGUCAGCUACUGUCCAGAGAUAUCACUACCAUGCACCAACUUUUACUUGUCCUAGAGUUGAUACUUCAUUUUAUUUCAAGGAAUAAGGUGAUACAAAAAGAGGAUGAUGAAAAAGAAGAAACAAUAUCUUCCCCAAUAUGAAGAAUCAGAACGAAAAGCUAAAUCACAUAAGUUAUGACAUUAAACAACAGAAAAAGAUGAAAUUUAAGUCAUUUUUCGAUACAAGGGAUGAAGACUCAAAUUCAAGUCUUAUUUUCGGUAAUCUAGUUAUGUAGUUAAGAACUGUGAUAUCAAGCAAAGUAGGAAACCCAUUAAUCCAUUUAAAAAGAAAAACUUAAAUUACUAAUAUGGUUAAAACUAAUAAAACUAUUAUAAAAUUAAAACAGAAUAAGAAAUGGAAAUUCCAAAAUGCAGUGGCAAACAUUUUGCAAUCCAUCAUCCAACCAACUAAUCUUCCAAUAUUUGCAUAUAGAUACAUAUAUGUACACACACAUAUAUAUGCUUGGAAUAUGUAUUUAAUUAUUGCAGAGAAGCAAAACAGAGAAAUGAGAAAAUUAAAGGGAAAAGGAAAAGCAGAGAAGAGAAAGAGAACUGAGACUAGAAGAGUAAAUCACCCAUGAGUUCUAACUUCCUAUGUAUGGUAUAUUCCAAGGUCCUAACUUGUACAUCAAAGAGUAAAUUACAAGUCUUCUCUCCCCUCUUAACUUGUACAUCCAAGGUCCUAAAUAUAUCUAGUAAAGGCAUGUGCUUCACCUAAUAUCCUCUAUAAACAAACAGGGGAAAUUACACAAAGGCUUUGACUUUCGGUGAAGGUCAGAUUCAUUUCAAAAAUGCUCAAAUUAUGCUCUACAUACUCAAAUCAAUUUUGGUAAUAACUCAUAAAAACUGCCAAACAUAAAAAAAAAAACAAAAAACAAAAAACAAAAAACAAAAACAAAAACAAAAACAAAGACAGUUUAACAAAUGUUGAUGACUUUGAAGAAUGGGGCAGAGAGACUUGAGUCUAAUGAGCUCAGCAACUGCUUCCAUUUGUAGCGUCUUAGCACAUUACUUUACAUAAAGUGCAUGGAGGACUCUUAGAUAACAACAGCUUCAAGAAUUUAUAGUUUACAAGCAUUUGUCAAGGUUAAUCAAUAUUUUAUGUCCCAAUUUUUUGGAUUAUUGAAUACAUUUGAUUUGAUAUUAUGUUAUGUGAGUCCACCUUCGCAUCCUAAAUCGACAAAAUUGCAAAAGCUUCACCGAAAACACCUUCAUGUUCAUACACAAAAUACACAUACAAAUCAACAAAAUUGCAAAAACUUCACACAAUCAACUUGAAUCACAUCACAAAAAAAAUCAAUUUGACAAAACCCAACAUGCAAUUUGAACCUAAACCCUAAAUAACAAAAACCCAUAAAAAAUCAGAAACCCUCACCUUGAAUUUGGGACUUGAUUCGCGUCAGUUUCCAGAUUCGCGUCACUGCCCGUCGUUUAGAACGAGAGGGAGAGAGACAACUGACAGAGAGUAGUGGUGGUGAUGGUUGGAUUCGUGAUUGUGAAGAGGAAAGCUUGUGAAUGAGAGGGAGAGAGAUAUGUACGGGAAAAAGAGGAGAGAUGAGCAAGAGGGUUAUACAGGAAAGAGGGAAAGAAAGGUGAGGAAGAGGGUGGGAAAGAGGGAAAGAGAGGUGAGCAAGGGAACCAUACGGGAAAGAGGGAAAGAGAGGAUAGAUGAGCAAGAGGUUAUAUGGGAAAGAGGGAAAGGCCGAAAGAGUGCAAGAGGGAAGAGAGGUCUAUUAAUUAUACGGGAAAGAGUCGAAACUUAGGAAAAAUUGAAACAAAGCGCCUUUUUUUCACUGCAUUGGAGCGCGAAAUUUAUCAUAUCUUGCGCGACGUUGGUAUACAAUUUGAUGUCGCGCAAAGUGCUUUUGCGCGACGACCAUGUUAAGGCGUCGCGCAAAGUUUUUUUUUUUUUUCAAUUAUUAUAAAAAUUACUGAAAAUAUGACUUUACUGCUUUCAAAUUCAAUUUUUUUUUACAUAAACCCCAAAAUAAUAUAUUUUUAAUAAAAACCAACAAAAUUUUUAUUUUUACAUAUAUAUAUCAUUCAAUUUCUUAAGUGUUAUAAGUAUUAUAUAAAUAAAUUAAAAUCUAUUUAGUAAAUAAUAUAUAUCAUUGAACUUGAUCAAAAACGCGUUGUACGAAAUCCACUAGUAAAUAUAUAUCUAAUUAGUUAAUAUAUAUAUGUAAUUAUAUUAUAUAUAAUUAUUAUAGUUUUUUAGGGGUAUUAAAUCAUUGUAUUCAUAUAGGGUCAAGGAGUGUAGCUGCAAAAAAUCAUCAAAAUCGGAGUAAAAAUGACCGUUAAAUCAUGAUUUAUCUUUUUAUAAACCGUCGAAAAGUUUUGUCCGGUUACUUGAUCUUUGAAUGUUUGUUUUUUUGCAAUUUUUGGCGUAUGAGAUCUCGAAGUAUAUACAAACAUGUUUGACGGUUGGAUCAUUGAAACUAGUUUCGUAGAAUGAGUAUCCCAUCAAAACAAUAGAUUCACUAAUACUUAAGAAUUUAUUUAUACUUUCAUUAAGUAUAACAUAAGAUUUUUUUGGUAUCCAUUAGUGUAAAUAUUUUAAAUUGAAGAUCGAAUUCAAUCAUUGUAUUCAUAUAGGGUCAAGGAGUGUAGCUGCAAAAAAUCAUCAAAAUCGGAGUUAAAAUGACCGUUAAUCAUGAUUUUUCUUUUUAUAACCGUCGAAAAGUUUUGUCUGGUUACUUGAUCUCUGAAUGUUUGUUUUUUGCAAUUUUUGGCGUAUGCGAUCUCGAAGUAUAUACAAACAUGUUUGACGGUUGGAUCCUUGAAACUACUUUCGUAGAAUGAGUAUCCCAUCAAAACAAUAAAUUCACUAAUACUUAAGAGUUUAUUCAUACUUUCAUUAAGUAUAACAUAAGAUUUUUUUGGUAUCCACUAGUGUAAAUAUUUUAAAUUGAAGAUCGAAUUCAUUCAUUGUAUUCAUAUAGGAUUAAGGAGUGUAGCUAUAAAAAAUAAUCAAAAUCGGAGUUAAAAUAACCGUUAAAUCGUGAUUUUUCGUUUUUUAACCAUUGAAAAGUUUUGUUCGGUUACUUAAUCUCUGAAUGUUUGGUUUUUGCAAUUUUUUGCUGAUACGAUCUCGAAGUAUAUACAAACAAGUUUGACGGUUGGAUCGUUGAAAUUAGUUUCGUAUAAUUCGUAUCCCAUCAAGUUCAAUGGUGUGUAUAUAUAUAUAUAUAUUUAUUAAGUAGAUUUAAAUCUCUUUAUUUUGUACGUAUAAUUUACUGGUACACGAAGUAGUAUAUUACGUGUCAUUAUAAAAAUAGUGGGAUAUGUCAUAUAUGUGAUAAAAAGUUAAUAACUUAAAAAAAAAAAAAUUUCUCACAACUUUUAUUAAUUUUCAUUUUCCCUCUCUUUUUUUGUUUCAUUUUCUUUUUUCCGUGUCGUGUCGUGUCGUGUUAUUGGGUCGUGUCAGGAAUUGUCAGGCAUAUCUUCCAUAGUUCAUAUAUUCCCAUAAUAUACUAUAUAUGUAUCUCAUUUUUAUGCUUGGCCUAAUAAAUAAAAGAUACCGUUAUUUUAGAGGAACUUUGGCUUGGUAUUUGCUUAAACUACAAGAAAUAUUAAUUUGUAAACACAUAUUAAGUCCCAACCAAAACCAUUUUGCCACCAACUCUUCCACUAACGCCAGCUCCUGUGUGCACCUCAAAAUCCUUAGCCUCCAUCACAUGUUCAGUUGAUCCAAACGUCUUUAGCAGCCUCUUACAAUUCAAACAAAUCACAAUUCUUCUCAGGCAUUAUCUCGAACACUUUAGCUGCAUCCUCAACCGACCCGCAUUUCCCAUACAUUGCAAUCAACGCAUUGCCUACAAACACAUCCGAAAUCAGUCCCAUCUAUUGAUCAAAUCCACAAACACAUCAAUGGCAUCAACAAAAAGCUCGUUUCUUGCAUACCCACUAACAAGCGCAUUCCACUGGAACAAGUUCUUCCUCUUCAGCCCGUCGAAAACUGAGCGGGAAUCCAAAGGAGAACCGCACAUUGCACAUGGUAAUGAUGCGUGUGUUGAGAACAAAAUCACAGUUGAAAACGGUCAACGCAGAGACCAAGUUGUGGACUUUGCGUCCGGUUUCGACGUACUUCUGGCGCCCGCAGGCCUGUAAAGAGGCUCCCAUGGCGUCCUUCCCUUGCUAUGAGCUGGAAACUGCAUCGUGAGAGUGUAAUUGAAAAAGGUCAGAGCCUCCGAGAGGUUUUCAUCCUAACUACUCUACAAACACUAACAUUUUUAAUGCAACUAAGCAAAUGAAGCUUUUAAUGUACAAAUUUGAAAUAUAAGCACCAACCUCUGUGGCAAUAGAUACAGCACAGAACUCCUCAAUUGAGUAAUUGGAAACGAGCACUGCAUUAACUACCGUUUCCCAACUGUCAGAGUUCCUGUUAUAUCAAAGACAACCGUGUUCACCUGCAGGGAUCAAACACAUGUCAGUAAACGUCCAGACAUCAAUAAAGUGUGAAAUGCUAAAAAAUUUAUCAACCUUCAUGACUUAGGUACCUUCAUGCCCUUUUGUUCAACUUUUAAUUUUAGAAAGGAAAAAAAAAAACAAAAAGAACGAAACAAUUAUUAGCCUUGUUUAUUAAAAUUAAUAUAAUUCAGGAUCCAAUCAAUCAAGUUACUAAACUACAUGUAAAUCAACACAAAUGGCAUAUUUGAUAAACACUAAGAUUUACUGCAAUAGAUAACCGCUUGAGCGGCAGAGACUAUCGCUUGAGCGGCAGAACUCAGUCAUACUACAGCUUGAGCGGCAGAGACCACCGCUUGAGCGGCAGAACUACAGCUUGAGCGGCAGAGACCACCGCUUGAGCGGCAGAACCCAAUUAUACCAAAAUCAAUGCAUGGACUGAUAUACAUGAAUAAGCAUGCAAACCUGAACUUGAAGCCAUGAUCUGUUUUAGGAUGUAUCUUCCCUUCUCUUGUACGACUACAAUGGAUGUAUUAGGUUUCAAAUGGGGCAACCUUGCUUAACUGUGAAUCAUCCAUAUUUAUACCGAGAAGAGGGACCAAUCCCAUUCUAUAUCUGAUAACUGCCUUAUCCCAUUAAUAAUGCAGUUAUCUUCAGUUAUUAUUAAGCCAACUGUUCUUCAUUAAUUCAAACAUGGCUUAAUCACAUUUUUCCCUCCAGUAUGUUUUACUUCAUUCGAAUAUAAAACCUUAAGAAGUCUAACCAUAUAUACAGCUCAUUUACCAAGUUCAGCUGCAAUCGGCAGUUUGAUGAACUCACAUAUAUGAAUUCAAGAAUGAUGAAAUCACAUGAAUUCUUACAUUGUUAUCAGAAAAGGAGUUGGGGAGAACUCUCCCUCAAUGAGAGCUGUUAUCUACAAGAAACUGGGAUCUAAAACUUGGCGAGUAUGGCUUGACAUGGACAAGGCCACCAAUCGUCAGAACCAAAGAGUCAUAUGAGACAGAUUCCAACUAUGAAAUGAUUGUUGCAUGUUCAAUCCCAAUACACUUGCACCCUCAGACAUAUGGAUAGUAUCUAAUCAGUAAUUGUCUUUUCCUAAUACCAAAACAAACAGGUUUUCGACGUCAUCGGAAGGAAAAGUAAGUAGGAACAAGUAUAAUGAAGGUACACCAGCAAAAAAACAUGAAAAUAAAAUGCAUGAAAAGUUGAAAACCCAGAUUCUAAAUUGAAAAGCAAUUUGUUUUCAACCAUUACUGCCGUAGGGAUUGCUAGUCCCAUGGCAAAAGGGCAAGCAACCACUAAUACUGAGAUACCGAAUUGUAAUGCCAGCUCAAAUUUAUCCAUGCCUUUUGGUAUCUAGUUUUCCGGAAAAAAAGACCAAAUUCUCCAGGGAUGAACCAUCCAAGCCAUGUCAAAAAUGCAACAAUGACAACCUGAUGUAGGAAAGAAAAAAAAAUCAAUCAUGCAAUUGAAAAAUUGUCAUAAUAACGCAAUUAUCAAAUGCAACUAAGAGUAAAACAAAUAUAAAGAUAACAUAAAACAUACAACUUACAUGAUAUCUUUAUCUUUAUAGAAUGGAGACGAUGAGAUAAUUUGUUGGGAAUAUUAGUGUGGUAGAUGAGAAGCGGUGUUAAACCCUCAGCCUCCUGCUUUUUCCUUCACAAGUUUAUAUUAAUCCUCAUCCGAACUACAAUAAUAACUCUCACUAUCAUCACUACUACUACCAUUUCCGGAUUCCCAUUCGUCCUCAUCUUCGUUUGCCUUUUCCGCUGCAUUGUAUUGAGGUAGAUCACCAAGGUCAAUUGAUAUUUCGAAUUCGGGAACUCCAGGUACGUCAAACGGUUCUUGGACAAUAUUAGUAUCCCGAAGUGUUUCUUCACCAAUUUCUAUCGAAGAUGAUAACUGUUGGUCAGCGACAUUGUCGUCGUUCUCAUCAUGAUCUAGUUCCGGAAUAUCAUAUAGCCCUCUUCGAUCAAUCUUCUGAACAACUUUCCAACCAUUGCCGGCUUUAGGGUCGUCUAGAUAGAAUAUUUGUUUCGCCAUAGUUGCCAAAAUGUAUGGGUCUUCAUCGUACCAAUGUCUCGUAGUGUUUACUGAUAGUAAACCAUGAUCUUGCUUAACACUCGUUCGGUUAUGUGGGUUUGUAUCAAACCAAAGACACUUAAACAGUAUCACUUGACACCUGUCUUUGUAAAGCAAUUGUACUACACAAGUUAGUUUGCCAUAGAAAUCAAUGUCUUCACUGUCGCCAGCACCUGGGACAUGGACACCACUAUUUUGAGUAGACAACUUGUCAUCACGUGUUGCCCCUAAGAACUUGAUCCCAUUUACAUGACAACCCGAGAACAAUUCAACAUGAAGUGGUCCUCUCGCCAAGUUAUAUAUAAUUCUUCAUCGUAAGAGGGUGAAUUCAAUUCCUUCAAUUUGUUCAUCUAAUAUAACAUAUACAAAAAGUUAACUUGUUAAUGUAACCAAAUUUAAAGACAGGCAUGAACAAGUUGGAAAAUAUGCUUAAUUCAAACCACAUAAAACUUACAUGUGCGUGAAACCACGAAGGAAACAAAUCACGAUGCUUCUUCGCAUAUAAAUGUGAAGGAUGUUCCCGCUUCAUCAACCGUUCAUGCUCUUCAAGGUAUGGCAAAGCCUCGUGACAAUUGUUGAGUAUGAACCAAUGCGCUACCUCCAUGUCAUUUUUGGUAAACGAUUCGCCUUUUACAGGAUCGCCGAAUGGUCGCGAAAUUUGGGCAAAAACAGACAGUUUCUUCUUUUCUGACACCACCGUCAUUAUUGCGUUGAGGACGAUUGAAAGUUGUCUCAACAUCUUGAAGAUACAUUGCACAAAAAGUAAGUGACUCAUAUGCGACCCAUGCCUCCACCAGUGAUCCUUCGGGCUUUGCCUUGUUUCGGACACACUUUUUCAAUUCACCAAUAUAUCUGCACAAAUAAAAGGUAUGCUACAAAUUAUUCAAAGCGUUCGUUGAUCAUGAAUUUGUUAUAUAUAUAUACACACACACACACGCGCUUAAUUACCUUUCUAUUGGAUACAUCCAUCGACAGUUCACUGGUCCGGCAAGCAAUGCCUCAUCUGGCAAGUGAAUCAUCACGUGAAUCAUACUUGUAAAGAAAGCUGGGGGAAAUAUCUGUUCAAAUUUGCAUAAGACGUUCACAAUGUCUUCCUGCAAUUGUUUAACAUCUGACUUUCGCAAACACCUUGCAGUCAACUGCGAAAAAAAUCUCGACAACAACACGAUUGGUUUCACCACAUCAAGAGGCAAUAAGUGUCGAAUACCAACCGGAAGAAGGCGUUGGAGUAUCACAUGACAAUCAUGACUCUUUAUGUUUGAAAAUUUACACCCCUUCACAUUCACACAACGCGAGAUAUUGGAAGCAUACCCAUCUGGAAACUUUACAGAAGAAAUAAAGUUGAAAAACUCUUUCUUCCCAUUUGGCUUAACUGUAAAAAAAGGAUGGCCUUUCUUCAUUGUACCACCGACACUCUGCAUCCACAUGGAUGACCUAAUGCCCAUUCGUUCCAAAUCGAGGCGAGCUUCAAUCGUGUCCUUCGUUUUUCCUUCAAUGUCUAGAAUUGUCCCGACCAAAGUAUCAAACACAUUUUUCUCAAUAUGCAUAACAUCUAGGUUGUGUCUCAAUUUUAACUUUGACCAGUACGGGAGCUCAAAUAACAUACUCUUGUGCGUCCAGUUUAGAUGUGUAGUUGGUCUGGGCUGACUGACCCCUUUGCCGAAAUGACCAAAUUCCAAACUAUUUAACUGAUCCAAAAUCUCAUCUCCGGACCAUUCUCUUGGUCUUAGCCGAGUCUCUUUUGUGCCAUGGAAGGCUUUAUCGUUAUGACGCCACUCGUUGUCCCAAGGGAGCCAUCUACGAUGACCAAGAUAACAAACUUUUCUCGCAUGCCAAGACGAUGUUACGUUCUCCUUGCAUAUUGGACAUGCCAAAUAACCCUUAGUCAUCCACCCAGAAACCAUUGCAUAGGCGGGAAAAUCGUUUACUGUCCACAUCACUGCCGCUCGCAUGGUGAACAUCUGCCCAGUAUACUUAUCGUAUGUACGAACACCGUUUUCCCAUAAAUCUUUUAGCUCAUCAACCAACGGCCGCAAAUAAACAUUAAUGGACUUUCCUAGAUCUUCGCUCAUUAAUAAAGUCAACAUCAUGUAUUCUUUUUUCAUGCACUUCCAAGGCGGCAGAUUAUAAGGAAAAACGACGACUGGCCAAGUGCUGUGGUUUAGGUUUAAAACCCCAAACGGAUUAAAUCCAUCAGUGGCAAGUCCCAAUCUGACGUUUCGCGGGUCAGCUGCAAAAUCAGGGUACAUCCGAUCGAAUUCUUUCCAUGCCUCUCCAUCUGCAGGAUGCCUCAUAACAUCGUCAUUUACCCGUCCUUCUUUAUGCCAUCUCAUGUCGGUUGCCGUAUGCAUCGACAUGUACAAUCGUUGCAACCUAGGCUUCAAUGGAAGAUAACGCAUUACUUUUUGUGGAAUCUUGGUCUUUCUAUUUUGUGAUGUCAUUUUAAACCUUGGCUCAUUGCAGAUAGGGCAUGUAUCCAACUGUUUGUUCUCCUUAUAAAACAAUAUACAAUUAUUUACACAUGCGUGAAUUUUUUCAUACCCCAAUCCAAGACCCUUCAACACUUUUUGGGCACUUUUAUGAUCUUCAGGUAAACAAUUCUCCUUUGGAAGCAUCCUCUUGAUAACUCCCAAAAAGUAAUCAAAACACUUGUUUGACAAACGAAACUUGAUUUUUCCAUGCAUCAACUCUACAAUUGCUGAGAGCACCGAAAAGUUCUCGCAACCCGGAUAUAAUUCUUGCUUGGCAUUUUUCAAUAGUUUUUCAUAGUUUUUAAAUUCCUCACUGUCCAUGGUUGGAUGAACAUCAUCUCCCCCUUCCUGAUUGGUGUUGCUCGAGGCGUAUGGAUAAACGUCAUUUACAAUAUUCAUAACUUGUUCACUAGGAUCCACAUUAGAUUCAACAGUGUCCACUUGUGUCACGUAUGAAGACGAAGCUUGAUCUAAUCGUUCUCCAUGAUGAUACCAAGUAGUAUAGGUCUCCAUCAUCCCAUUUCUUACUAAAUGAAAUCGAACAUUUUCGAAUGUCUCCCACAUUGAGUUGUUACACCUUCUACAUGGACAUCGGAUAUGAGUUGAAUCUGGGUUGUGUCUAGUUGCAAAUUCAGUGAACUUAUCUAUUCCAUCCAAGUACUCAACAUCACAUCUAUUAUGAUUAUGUAUCCACCGUUUGUCCAUUUUGUCUGCAAUCCCAAUAAAAGUACAAGAGUUACAACAACUUCAACUAUUGUAUUGUCACCUUAUUCCUCCGGUAAGGGCCCUAUCCCAUUCAGGAAUGCACAGUUAUGUGUCGUAAUUUACGAUUCCAAUGGAUUAAAUUUCGACGUGGGCUAAUUUCGGCAGCAUCUCCUUACAGUUCUUCAAGUGCACGCCGUAGAUACAUAAUAUCCACCGUGUACUCGAAGAACAACAGGAAAUGUUACCAAAAUUUCCACUAUCGAAACCUAAUCCGUGAACCGCAAACUACAACACAUAACUAUGUAUUCCCAAACUGUCCAUAAAAUGGGACAAUUCAAGAAUUAAUUGGACCGCAGUCAUGCUUUCGCAUCCAUACACGAAAUCCAACGAAUUCUCAAACGGGAAACUAAGCUUUUCUUAAAAAAAAGUGUACAAAGUUAAGUAGUAUUAAUUUCGUACAACACAAAACAAUUUUGUGUACGUGAUGUACAAAAAUUUGUGCAUACAAAUAAAUUAAAUCACAAUAAUUACUAAAGCUAAAUAAAAUAGAUAAAAUUAAUAAAGAUCAAUUACAAAUUGAAUCCCAAAAAACUCCAACAUGACCAAAAUUAUCUUAUGGUGUCUGAACAGAUGGUCCCAUCAUAAAGAAAAAUUCCUACUGCUCUCAUCAUAAAGAAAAUUCCUACUGGUCCCGGGGUCCCUUUAAAUGAAAGAGAAGUAACAUAUAAUGCUGGUGGUAUUAAAAGUGGAGGAGCUGCUUGUAAAGUGCCUGAGGAAUUAUUUGUACUAGGUACCAUCUACUGCCUAAAGAGGAAUGUGGAUGCUCGUACCAGCAGCAGCGGAGCAUUUUAAGAGGAUUGUGCUUUCAAGCAACAUAAUAACUGACCGCAAGUGUGUGAGCCAUUACUAUGCAUUAACAGAUGUGCUCAAAGGUUUGCCGGCCUCCGAUGAUGAAGACGAAUUUUCUUAAAUAAUCAAAACAAACUGCUCUGAGUUUACCUCUGUAAAAACGUAGCUCGUAUAUAAGGUUGUUGUAACUUGAGUUUUGCAUUUAAUAAAAUUUAGCAAUUUUGAUUAACAAAUAUUCAUCCAAAGUCUUGCUACAGUAUUUUGUGUACAGAGUGAUGAUCUGCUACUUCUAUGUGCUAAUCAGUUUGGAAUGGUUGCCAAAAACUAGAUUGAACAAUAAGCAACCCCGUUGACACAAGAACGAACUUACAACUAGGACGCAACUGUGGAGUAAACUAACCCAAUUAAGUAUUGUCAUGUAUUUUAACUUUCUCUACGUGACAGUGCUUGGUGGGUUUGAUUUCUUCCAACAAUGGCGUCUCAAUUGUUUCUUACAUCUCCAUCGUAAGUCUGUGACAUUCUAAACUAAAAUCCGAUGUCAUGUGAAAACAUUAAAACACAUGUCAUCGCAUUUGAAGGACCUACACUCCUAUCCCAUUCUCUUCUUUUACUUGUUGUUUAAAACAUUUUUCUAGUUUUACAACUGCCAAGUUGAUUGCAAAUCCUAGUUGGCAUGAGUAACCCUUUUUUAUCCUUUUGAGUAGUGGGAUUUUUACAACUUCUUAUCUUCAUUGUCUAAUAUUUGUCUUUACUUCCUUCUAGUUUUGAUGUUUUGUGACUGUGAAUGGCAUAGUUUAAUCCCAAAUAAUGAACUCCAGUUUAGACGGUAAUCUUAAUUCUCGUAAGCUUUUUGGGUAAGUAAUGAUCGGGUUUCCCACCAUUUCCCUGCCAUGAAAGCUUAGGUUAUAUUAACAAUAGUCAUACAUAGUCUGCUACUGCUAGGCAAAUAGAGCUAUAUUUAGGAUCCCACCAUUUAUUUGUUCAGACACCAUAAGAUAAUUUGGUGAAGGGAAGAUCAUGUGCCAUCAUCAAUAGGAGAUCAAAAUUUUCAAUAUAUUAGGUAAUAAGGAGAUCAAAAUUUUCAAUAUAUUAGGUAAUAAGGAGAUCAAAAUUUUCAAUAUAUUAGGUAAUAUUAACAAAAAAUUCAAUACAAUCAUAUAUAAAAAAAUGGAUAAAUAACAUAGAGGUUUUUAAAUCACCUGAGUGUGAUCAGCAGCUAUGGAGGUCUGUAGGUGAGGAAGAGGGGAAGGCAGUUAGCUGUUUGACUAGUGUUAGAACACUGGAAAGAAAGACAAAAAGGUAUAUUUUCGUGUUGACUUUGCGCGACGCAGGUUCACUACGUCGCGCAAAACUGUUUUGCGCGACGCAAGAUGUACAUAAUGCGUCGCGCAAAACAGUUUUGCGCGACGUAGUGAACCUGCGUCGCGCAAAGUUCGAAAAAAGCGGUAAAACAAGCUUGGUUUGGCGCCAAACUCUUGCGCGACGCACAAGACGUCGCGCAAAACUGUUUUGCGCGACGUAGUUGUACCUUCGUCGCGCAAAACUGUUUUGCGCGACGCAUUACUACGUCGCGCAAAGUACCGUCGCGCAAAGACCAUUUGCGCGACGUCCUGUGUGUUGUCGUCGCGCAAACAUACUUUGCGUGACGAAAUGCUCUACGUCGCGCAAGGUUUCGUCGCGCAAACAUGUUUUUCUACUAGUGAGUGUCCCCAACGGGGUUUUAUAGUCUAAAAAUAUUCUAUGAUAGCUUCAUUACCAAUACAUGAAAAACAUCUAUCUCAAUGUAAACAACUAAAUUGUCACUCAACCAUCUUUCUCAAUGAACAAAUAGGUGGUGCUAUUGGCUUUGGCUUGAAAAAUCUCUCCAUAUUUUUUAUUUCUAAACUACACAUUUAACAAAAAAAAAAAAAAACACUAACCAUAUACCAAUUAACAAACAUAUCAAAUGAGUAUACAAACAUAUCAACAAUCAUAUCAAUAAUAGACUAAAAGUCUCAAUCAAUAUCUAAUAUAAUUUAAGUAAGAUUAGAUCAGAAUAUUAAACAAUUUACUUGACUUUUGAACCAAAUAGUGGUGGCCUGGAUAUUUGAAACAAGUGAAUGUAUGAUUUUGGAGUAAUAAAAUUAUAAUAUGGGAUUGGAUGGGAUUUAGAAUUUUAGGGUUUUGAAAUCUGGGGAGCUGGGGAAUUUGGGUGAAUAUGUUAAAGUUGGGCAUUGGGGGAAGCAUAUGAGCGGGGAAUGGUGGGACUGUGGGGACAGGUGUGGGUUGGGAUUUAAAACAAUAUGGACAAACGACAUACCUUGUUUUAGCCCAAUUGUUAAAAAGGGUCAUAUAUUUUUUCUUCUCUGCGAGCGAUUGUCUUCUCUGAAAAGAAGACGCCACUGCAACUUGCAACCUGCACAUCAUAGGCCUCGUGUUCGAGUACGAAAGGUCCUCGAAAAAUUUCUAGCAGUGAUUGGGUCGUCGAAGGGUCCUAGGACCUCCCAGGUCCCUCUGUAGAUCCGCUACUGUCUCUAAUUCACUAGCCAAAGCUUAGUAUUGUCUUUUCUCUUAGUUUUAUUAUAUAACAAAAUUGAAUAAGAAUAAAUCAUGAUGUCCAGAACGGCUAUCUCUAUUAUAAAAAAAUUAUCGUUUGUGAAAUUUGAACUCAUAAUACCACAUACGUAUUCUUCAAUUAUAGCACGAAAAAAAAAAAGAUCUCAGUCCUCGAAAUGAGGGAUUAGGGUUUUGGAAAGUCAAAGCAUCGUUUUGUCUUCUAGGGUUUGGGCUUGCACAGAAAACGAUUACACGGGGUAGAAAGCAAGUAUGAGUAGGGUUUUGGGUUUGACUUUUGCGUGCAUUGGCUGGCUUUAGGACUUCUAAUGUUUGACGGUGUCUCGGAAAAUAUGGGUGAACCAAACUUGGUUGGUAACAUGGAGGAACUAGGGUUUAAGUUAGGGUCCAUUCUAAAGCUGUCAGAGAAUGAGCGGAAGGGGAUUGGAAGGAAGGAUUUUGAAGAGGCUCUGAUUGGUUUUCAUUUUUGUGCCGUCGCUGAGGUUCUCACAAAAAAUGAGGUGCAUAGGGAUGCGUUUAUUGAUAGAUUUACCUCCCUAUGGAGAGAUAAGAGCGGGGUCUCAAUUAAGGAUCUGGACAGUCGUCGCUUUCUUGCCCGGUUUGUGACUGAACAAGACAUGGUUUGUGUGAUAGAUGCUAACCAACCAUGGACGUUCAACAAAGACCUAGUCAUGGUGGCGGAUAUGACUCAGAUAGGUAAUAAUCGAUGGGAGCCUCUCACUCUUGGUUCCUUUUUGGUGUAACUUCAUAACAUUCAUCCUCUAAGUGCGACCAGGGUGGUCGCACAAGCCAUUGGAGGAUUGUUGGGUACGAUCCUCCGAGUGGACAAAAAUGUGAGUAAGGAGUGCAUUGGCAGAUUUCUGAGGGUCAAAGUCCAUUUCAACGUUAAGGAACCACUAUUGCGAUGAACGUUCGUACAAUUUCCCUAUGAGGGGAUGAUCUAAGUGGACUUUAAAUAUGAGUGUCUUCCAAACUACUGCCUAAUUUAUGGUCUCCUGGGGCACCUAUCUAAGGUCUGCAAAGAUCACAUAGAAGGGGCUGGCGUAGGGGUAGGCAGCAGGAUGAAUGGGGAAGACAACUAUGCUUUUAAGGAUCUUGAUGCGGUGACCAACUUUCGAGGCAACCUACUUUGUCCUGUUAAUCAUAAAGCUUUGAGGUCGGGGGAAAGUAGAGGUAGGAGGAGCGUAAUAAUGCGACCAAAAAGUGGGGAGACUGGAAGUAUUAAAAUUGGGAGCGAGGGGAAGAUUUCAAGUAUGAGUGGCGCCCAUUGCCAUGAAUAUCAUCGAGGGGUUAGUUGAAGUGGUGAUGGGAAGGUGGAGGUUGAUGGGGAUGGUGAAAUGGUAGAUACAGCAAGCUUGCCAGUGAAAAAGAAAUUUGUUAACGAGACAGAAAAUACAAGGUUAACACUAACGGAAAAGAUUUGGGCAAGAAAGAAGCGAGAGGGAGAUGAGAGAAUGGCAAGGGAGAAAGCCUUCGAUGAGAGGUUGAUUGGGCUGGGAGGAACGGUGGCGCUGGGGGUUGAAAUGUGGUGCUACUUAGUUUGGAGGAAGUGGAGAACGGAAUUACAGAAGUGUUGGUGCCAGAGAAAUUUGGUGUGGUGAUUGACCUAAAUCUCAUGCCGAUGGAAGGUGAUCUAAUAAGUGGUGAUAAGAGGGCUAUUCAUGUUCCUAUGGAAAAGUUGAAUAGAGUGAGGGAGGAGCUACCUGAGGCUCGAGUUGGUUUCGAUGUUGGGAACCCAAAAUUCUGAUCCUUUUAAUUUGGGGCCAAUUAUUGAGGCCAUCUCUCGGGAGAGAAAGGCAAAGAAGCGGGUAUUAAUGGAGGUAGAAAGGUUCGAAGAUGUAAUGGCAACGGAGUCCAGAAGCAUUAGACGUCGAUCGUCCAAUGAUAUUACUAAGGCGGAGGAGACCAGCCUUGAGGGGUCUCCCAAGUCCCCAUGAAUCUAAUAACAUGGAACUGUCAGGGUAUCGGGGGUGACCUGAUAGUUGACAAUUUGCUGGAGCAAAAUAGGCACCACAACCCCUACAUAGUGAUCUUGCUAGAAACAAAGAAUAAAAGUUGGCACGAUGGGAGUUUAUGUAUGCGGUGGAACCUAGAGGGAUUGGUGGUGGUUUGUGGUUGUUUUGGAGAGAUGAUUCACAAGUGCUUUUGGUGAAAUACGCGGACUUUGUGAUUGACGUUAAAAUAUGAAAUGAUAGUAAAUUGGCGUUUAUUUGCUAUUUAUGCUAGUACUAAUGAGAAAAAACGGCGGGACCAAUGGAUGAUGCUGAGUAAACAGACAGAGAAUGAAAUUGAUAGGUACCUCCUGAUAGGGGAUUUUAAUGACAUACUGAGCAACGAACAAAAAUAAGGUGGUAAUUACAGAACAACGGCUAGUAUGAGGGACUUUAGAGAGUUUGUGGCACAUAACGAACUUAUAGACCUGGGCUACAAAGGUUAUCCGCUUACUUGGAGGAAUAAUAGAGAGUCUAAGCCAAUUGAACAAAGGCUUGAUCGUGGGUUGGCGAGCAUCGGGUGGCAUGAUCUUUAUCUGGGUACUAAAAUCCUGCAUGUGGUGUUAGAAGGAUCCGAUCACGCAAUGCUUGUUCUUUCCACGGAGAAGAUGAGGGCUUGGAGGGAGAGAAGAUUCACGUAUGAUUCAUGAUGGGGAAAGCUAGUUGAAUGUCGUGACUUGGUGGUUGGGGAAUGACGUGACAAUUAUGGUGGUUAACAUGGUUUUCGGUUUUGUGAAAAACCAAAAACUCUUAGGUGGAGUCUUAAGGUUUAGUAUAAAGGGAGAAGCAGGAACUAGAAAGCUAUUGACCAAUUGAAAUGAGAGAUUAGGAUGGCAUAUAAGUCAAAUGGAUUUGCCAUGAACGAGGUGCACCUAAAGGAGAUGGAGCUUAGGAAAGCGCACAAGGAAGAAGAGACUUUUUGGCGAGUGAAGUCGAGGGUGUUAGCAUAAACACAACACCAUGAUCAUGCAAGGCAAGUUACCGUGAUCAAAACACAGAACCAUAAACCAUAAAGCAAUGCACAGAGAGAAAACAUACCUGCAGAAGAGUUCGAAGCUAUUGCCACGUCUGAUUUCUGCAGCAAAGUCGUGGUGCAUCUUCUCCUCUCUUCAGUGAACGAGACUCUCAACUAAUAAUAAGUCUUACUCUUAUAUUGAGUACACACUGUGAGAGCAGAGGCCACCAUAUAUAUACUAUACAAUCUUAGCCAAAUUCUAUAAGGAUUCCCCUAUUAAAUCCAUACAGAAUACCAACUUAUCCCAAAUAGCAGUCCAGUUACAACAUGGAUUUACAAAUCCAUUCCCAACAAGACUUCCUAUUCAAUCUCUAAUCCUACAACCAAGUUUACCAAUUCAUACUCAUGAUCAUAUUCUAACAGAGGAUCCAAAGGUACAAUGAGGGAGACAAUAAUACAAAGCUUUUUUCAUGCGCAAACGAUGAAAUGGCGGAGGUUUAACCAGAUCUAGGGGUUGAAGGAUUUGCAUGGGGUGUGGUGUGAGAGUGAAACCAGAAUAUGUUCGAUUCAAAUUGAGGAGAUUAUGAGUUGUUUGGAUAAUCGGGUGACACACGAGGAUAAUAUGUUUCUGACGGCUCCCGUGACGGAUAGAGAAAUACAGGAGGCGGCAUUUCAAAUUCCUCUUAUGAUAGCUCCAGGACUAGAUGGGUUCUCCGGUAGCUUUUAUUAGAACCAUUGGGAGGUGGUGGGGAAGGAUAUGGUGAAUAUUGUCAAGGCUUUCUAGCAUUCCGAUACGCUUUUACAGAAACUAAAUCAUACAAAUUUGUACUCAUUCCAAAGGUUACAUGUCCGAAGAACAUCACGGGGUAUCGGCCUAUUGCUUUAUGCAACACAAGCUAUAAGGUCCUCGCUAAGUUUCUUACAAAUAGAUUAAAAAGGUUGAUGCCAAAGGUGAUAAGUGACAAUCAAUCGUCUUUUGUGGUUGGGAAGCAUAUUCAGGAUAAUAUCCUAGUUGUGCAUGAGAUCUUGCAUUCCCUUAUGCAUCAAACAAAGGAGGACCAGAUGGGUAUGGCAAUAAAAUUGGAUAUGACGAAGGCAUAUGAUCCUGUAGAAUGGGAGUUCCUAUUAGCUAUGAUGGCUAAAUUGGGUUUUGCGUUGAUGUUUUGUAGGUGGGUAAAGGAAUGCACUUCCACUGCUUCCUUUGGUAUUUUAGUGAAUGGAAACCUAACGGGGUAUAUUUUGCCGCAGAGGGGGCUGAGGCAAAGGGACCCAUUAUCUCUGUACUUAUUUCUUCUCUGUGCCAAAGGGUUCUCUUCUUGACUUCAGAAUGGUAUGGAGAGAUAAACUCUACAUGGAUUCAUGGUGACACCUAAUGGGGUGCCGAUAUAAAUUUUUUUUUUUUUUUUUGGCGGAUGACUCAAUGUUGUUUUGUAAUGCGACAGUUGAGGAAGCGCAAGGUGUGGUGGAUGUGUUGAAGGUUUAUGCAUCCGGGUCAGAUUAGGAAAUUAAUAUGUUAAAAAGCUCGAUUUUCUUUGGUUCCAAGGCUACGAAACGAAAUAAGAAAAAAAUUGAACGAACUUUGAAUAUUCAAAGAAAUGAAGGCUUUGGGAAGUAUUUAGGACUACAAGCAGAUUUUGAUCAUUAAAAAAAAAACAGUCUCUAAGGAGGUGCAUGAAAGGAUUGAGACAUGUGUGGUGGGGAUAGGCAGAGCAGCUCCUAUCUCAAGCGGGGAAGGAAAUCCUUAUAAAGGCAGUGGCCAUGGCUAUGCCAAAUCAUGCCAUGGGAUGUUUCAAGUUACCUAUUGGGGUAUGCAGAGACAUAGAGAAAGCUAAUAAGAAUUAUUGGUGGAGGGGAAACGAUUAUCGGAAGGGUGUUUACUGGGUUUCUUGGGAACGGUUAAUGAAGCAAAAGCGAUAUGGUGGUUUGGGUUUUAAAGAUAUUCAAUGCUUUAAUCUUGCCCUUCUGGCAAAGAUCAUGUGGUGACUGAUCCAUAACCCGGAGUUUCUCCUAGCUAGAGUGUUGAGAGACAAAUAUUUUCCUGGAAAGACAUUUAAGGAGGCGAGUGGUGGGAGGAUAACGUCUUGGGGUUGGAAGGGUAUCAUUGAAGCACGUAAGGUGCUAGAUUAUGGUAUUCGGUGGCGGGUUGGUAAUGGAACUUGUAUCAAUAUUAGAGAGGAUCCGUGGUUUCCUAAACCCACUACUUUCAAAGUACGGCAUUGGGAGGGCCUGCGAGCAACAAUGGUGAGUGAACUGAUUGAUUCGAACUCAAAGACUUGGAAUGCAGACGUGAUCUUGGCAGGCUUUAUUAGAAAUAUAUUUCUCAUUGAUUACAAUGAUUUACAUUGGAGGUAUUUAUACACAGCAGCUAAUAAAGUUUAGUUAUUAACUAAUGUAACUAAUUAAACUUUAUCUAUGAUUAGUUACAAAUCAAUUACAAUAAGAAAACUUAAAAGCUAAGUAAUUGUUGACUGUGUUCUAGCCUUGGACUCUAGCUGGCACUGUUGAGUUAUCUGAGGAUAAUGUGUGUCUUUACACCACCUCAAACGGAACGGAGGAGAGCCAAGUGAAAGCUUGGACCGAAGAAACUGAAAACGAGCUUUGGACAGAGACUUAGUGUGAAUAUCUGCAAUUUGAUUAUGGCUGGGAACAAAUUGAACUCGGACGAGAGAAGCUAAAACCAGUUCGCGAAUAUAAUGGUAGUCAAUCUCAACAUGUUUCGUUCGAGCAUGGAAAACUAGAUUUGAAGCAAGGGAAAUUGCAGAUAGAUUAUCACACCAAAGAGUUGGAAUCUGGGAUAAGGGAAAGCCAAUGUCCCUGAAAAUUUUGCAGAUCCAAGUGAUCUCGGCAGAGGUGUGAGCCAAAGAACGAUAUUCAGCUUCAGUGGAGGAACGUGCAACAGUAUGCUGUUUCUUUGCACUGCAACUGAUGAGAUUGGUGCCAAAAUAAACACAAUAACCACUUGUAGAUCGGCGAUCAAAAACACAUCCUGCCCAGUUAGCAUCCGAGAAGGCAGUGAGAGUGAUGGUACUCUUUUUAAACCAAAUUCCAUCAUCAACAGUGCCUUUAAGAAAGUGUAAGACACGCUUAACAGAUUGAUAAUGUGUGUCUCGAGGACAAUGGAGAAACUGACAUAGUUGAUUGACAGCAAAAGAAAGAUCAGGUCGAGUCCAAGUCAAAUAUUGCAAUGCCCCAACUAUGGAGUGAUAUUCCUGUGGAUUAGAGAGAAGUGUACCAGUGUGAUCUAACUUCUGAGUAGCGAGAGGGGUAGAGCAGGGUUUACUUCCAUCCAUAUGAGUCUUGAGAAGAAGAUCCAUGGCAUAUUUGUGUUGAGAGAGAAAAAUGCCUUUUGAGGUUCUGUGAAUCUCCAAACCCAAGAAGUAAUGCAAAGGGCCUAAAUCUUUGACUGGAAAGAGUUGACUAAGCUUCUGAAUAAAGACUGUGCAAACUUGAGCAUUCGGUCCAGUAACGAGUAUAUCAUCAACAUAUACUAGGACAAUGACAAGAGUUGGCUUAAACGCAACAAACAAAGAACAAUCCGAUUGAGAGUUAUGAAAUCCCAGAGAGAGCAAGGCUUGAAACAGUUUAUCAUACCAUGCCCUUGGGGCUUGCUUGAGGCCAUACAAGGACUUGAUAAGUUUGCAAACAUGGGAUGGCUUCGAUGGAUCAAUAAAACCAGGAGGUUGUUGCAUAAAGACCUCCUCUUUAAGUGUGCCAUGUAAGAAUGCGUUGCUAACGUCCAAUUGGUUCAAAAACCAAUCAAAUUGUACUGCUAAUGUCAAGAGAAUUCUGAUUGUUACAGGUUUGGCAACGGGACUAAAAGUCUCUUGAAAAUCAAUACCUUCUUGUUGAUGGAAGCCUUUGGCGACUAAGUGGGCUUUGUAUCUGUCCACACUGCCAUCGGGUUUCCGUUUGAUGCGAAAAACCCAUUUACACCCAACAAGAUUUUGAUUUGGUGUAGAAGGAACAAGAGACCAGGUUCCUGUAGAUUGCAGGGCUUGAAACUCCUCAACCAUUGCUUUCAUCCAGUGAUCAUACUUAGAAGCUUGUAAGAAGGUUGUAGGAACAAAGUUCAAUGUAUCAAUAGGGUGUUUAGUAGCAGCCAAAGCUUUAGGUUUAAAGAUUCCAGCCUUGGACCUAGUAGUCAUGGAAUGAGUAUUUAUGGAAGGGAGAGGUGGAGGGGGGAUUGGAGAGGGAGGUGGGACGGAAGGAUUGGGCAGUGGUGAAGUAAAGGGUAGGGUAGAAUCUGGCACUGUGGGAAUGGAAGAGGAUAAAGGAGAAGUGCAAGGGAUGGGAAAUGAAAGUGUGAAUGGUUGAUACUGAGGGUGCGGACUAGGUUGCAACUGUGAACUUGACUCGGUGAGCUCAUGAGGUUUAUGAAAAGGGAAAUUAGAUUCAUUGAAAAGCACAUGGCGAGAAAUGUAGAGUCUGGAUGUAAGAGGAUCUAAGCAACGAUAGCCCUUGUGUUGCAAACUAUAACCAAGAAAAACACAGUGAAUGCUUUUCCCAUUAAACUUGGAAGCAGCAUAUGGUUUAAGCCAGGGAUAGCAGCUACACCCAAAAACCUUGAGCUUUGAAUAAUCUGGAGGCUUGUGAAAAAGUAAUUCCCAGGGAGAUUUGUCAAGACCAGAGAUUGGAAGCCUGUUGAUCAGAUACAAGGCAGUAGAGAAUGCCUCAAACCAAAAUGAAUGUGGAACCUUUGAUGCAGUGAUAAGAGUCCGAGCAGUUUCUGUGAGGUGCCGAUGUUUCCAUUCAACACAACCGUUUUGUUCCGGUGUGUGAGGACAAGAAUAUUGAUGCAAAAUACCAUGCUGCAGAAGAAAGGAAUUAAAAUUUGAACUUGUGAAUUCACCCCCUGAAUCAGAGCGGAGAACUUUGAUUUUAUUGCCAACCAAGUUUUCUACAUAACACUUGAAAGUCACAAAAACGGAAUACACCUUAGAUUUGAGCUUCAAUGGGAACAUCCAACUAUAUUUUGUGAAUUCAUCAACAAAUAACACGUAGUACUUAUAACCACUAAGAGACAAUGUAGGGGCAGGUCCCCAAACAUCACAAUGAACAAGUUCUAAGGGCACAGAUACAGAGCUAAUACUUGCAGUGAAGGGCAAUUUGUGAUUUUUGCCAAUGGCACAAUCUGAACAGAAGAAAGAAGUAAACUUUUUAUCAUUGGAAACUAUAGUGCUACUAUUUAAAGUCUUCCGAAAAAUAGCAGAAGAUGGAUGACCGAGCCGAUUAUGCCAAACUUGUAAAGGAGCUUUGCUAUUGACAAGAGCCGAGGGAGAAGUGGAUGCUGGAGGAAUGCCUUAAAAAGGAUAAAAACCAUCUUUAACUGGUCCUCGGAAAAGCAUCCUCCCCGAAAUACGAUCCUUGAUUGUAGAACCAUCAGAAUCAAGGGUUAAUUUGUAGUGAUUGUCUCGUAAGAAUUGAUACGCAGAAAGAAGGUUAUGCUUCAUUGCAGGAACAUGUAAAACAUUAUUCAGACGAAAAGUGGCAGUAGGCGUAUUAAGAAAGGUUGUACCAGUAUGGUGGAUGGGCAUACCUUGACCAUCACCAAUAUAAACCUUGUCCUGACCAUUGUAAGGAGUGGGAGAAUGAAUGGCAGAGAUGUCAUUGGUUAUGUGAGACGUGGCACCGGAGUCCAUAAGCCAAGUAGGAGAAGAGGAUUUGAGGGUGGUGUGAGCACACAUAGCUGCCAAUUUUACAGGAGGAAUUUUUCCAGCAAAGGCAUGAUUCAUCCGUUCAAAACAAUCCAAUGCUUCAUGAUCUGGAGAAUGACAGAUUUGGCAAGGAUCUCGGUGACUAGUAGUGGUUCCAGAAUGACGAGUGUAACUGCCAAAGUUGCGAUUGAAAUUGCCUCUAGAAUUUCCUCGAUAGUUAUUACCUCGAUAGUUAUUGUUUCCUCGAUAGUUAUUACCCCUGUAAGUACCUUUGCCACGAUUGAAUGGCCUAGGAGUAGAGAUGUACAAGUUAUGUCCAGGAGGACCCUGAGGUGUGGGAAGAAGAGGCGCUUGAGAGUGUUGAUACUGAGCCGCAAAAGCUUGAAAGGGUUCAGAUACGGACGAAGCUACAGUCUUCUUCUUACGAUUCAUGAACAAUUCUUUAUUGAUCAACAGGCCAUGUAGUUCGUCCAAUGAAGUAGAGGAAAUCCGUAGCAUAAUGGAGUCAACAAAAGACUCAUAAUCCUCAGAGAGACCAUUAAGAGUUACUGCAAUCAAAUCACUUUCAGAAAUCGGAGCACCGACAGCCAUGAGUGCAUCAGAAAUGGUUUUGAUUUGCUAAAUGUAGUCAGAAAUUGUGAGAUCGCCUUUCUGAACAGUGUGCAGGCGAGAUCGAAGCUGGUGAAUAUGAGCAGCAGAGACGCCACCAAAGCGUUGCUCAAGAUUCAACCAUAAACACCAACAGUAAACGGAAUGAGAUCUUCCGAAAGGGUGGAGUUGAGCCAGAUAAGGAUAUUCUGAUCCUUUUCAUACCACAAAUCAAAAGCCGGAUUGGGAGUGCUAGUGGUGUUGCCAGAUGCAUCAAGUAAAAAUGGCGAAGGACAAACCUCCGAGCCAUCAAGAAUCCCUGUAAGCUUGUAACGACGAAAAAUUGGAGCAAACAAUGCCUUCCAAACAAGAUAAUUGUCACGCUUCAGCUUGGUAGGAACCAUACAACUGAUGUGCUGAAUUGAAAUCAAAGAAAUUGAGGGAGAAGACGGAACCGUUGUGAAAUUAUAGGGUUCAUCGGGGAUGAAUUUGGGGCAAGAACAUCAUGAUUCAUCGGAGAGGAACUCGACGAUGUCAUCGUAAGCAAGAAAGAUAGUAGAUGAGAAGAGAAGAUCGAUCAAGAACCACAAGAAAUUGAAGAUGGAAGAUCAAAGAUCGAAGAAAUCUCGAAGAAAUCAGAGAUCGCAGAGAGCGACGGAGAAGAGGAUCGAAGAAAGGCGAUUAAGCAGAAGAAGGGAUGAUACCAUAUUAGAAAUAUAUUUCUCAUUGAUUAAAAUGGUUGACAUUGGAGGUAUUUAUACACAGCAACUAACAGCAGAUAAUAAAGUUUAGUUAUUAACUAAUGUAACUAAUUAAACUUUAUCUAUGAUUAGUUACAAAUCAGUUACAAUAAGAAAACUUAAAAGCUAAGUAAUUGCUGACUGUGUUCCAGCCUUGGACUCUAGUUGGCACUGUUGAGUUGUCUGAGGAUAAUGUGUGUCUUUAGGCUUUAAUCAGGACGAUGUGGCACCGAUUUUAAGCAUUCCGUUUAAGCAGGAAAUGUUGUAGUGACAGGUUGGUGUGGCACCACACUACGAAUGGGGUGUACACGGUUAAAUCCGGCUAUGGGGUGGCGUUGGGUCUUAUGGAAAAUGGAGCACUGUGAAGGAAAGGGCAGGGAACGGCGAGAAAACAAAUCACAAUCAGGUGUGGAAUAGGAUAUGGAGUUUGGAGGUCCCUAAUAAAAUGAAAUUUUUUGUAUGGAGUUGUUGCAAAAAUGCUUUGGCGGUUAGACAAAAUCUGCAGAGACGACAUAUGAAGACUGAUAAUGUAUGCGGGGUGUGUAGCCUAUGUGAUGAAACGGAAAACCAUUUGUUUUUCCGCUGCGAACUCAGCCACCUAUUUUGGUUAUGUUCGCCGCUUCAACUUAAUUCCUUUGAUUUGGAAUGCGCUGACUUUUUAGAAAGCUAGGAGAAAUUCUGUAACCGUGUUAAGGGAAUGGAAAAUGCAGCUGAGAUCAUGCAAGAAUUUGUCUUCGGGUUAUGGAGACUAUGGAAAAACAGAAAUGAGGUGGUUUUAAAUGGAGUGCACUGAUGGCCUUUAGAGGUUUUGGAGGUAUGGAAGAGGAACAUCUCUGAAUUCAGAGAUGCCAAGGCACAUGGGGUAGCGGGAGUGAGUCCAAAUACGGGGACGACGACCUUGGCAUUGAAACGACAGAACGAACAAUGGCAGAAAUUGGGGUUUGGGACAAUUAAGAUUAAUACCGAUGCGGCUUGGUGCAAGGAUACGUUGCGUGCGAGAGUGGGCUGGGUUGUUCGUGAUUUUGCAGGUUUGCUGCAAGCAGCGGGAGGCUUGGGAGUUAUGCAUUGUCAUAAUGCAGCAGAGGCUGAAGCUACAACAAUCUGUGAAGCUUUGGAGUUUUGCAUUGAGCUGGAGUUGACAACUUGAUUAUUGAAUCCGAUGAAAAGGUGAUUAUUCAAAUGACUGACUCAUGAUUAUAGCCUUGAAUGGAUCCUUGGUGACAUUGAGACUCUAGCGCAAAGUUUGAGGUCGGUAACGUUUGACUUUGUGUCUAGAGAGAGUAACCGUGCUGCUCACUCGGUGGCUAAGUUUGUGUUUAAAGAGGGUCGUUCCUUUGUAUGAGAUUGUAUUGGUCCUGAGUUCCUGUUUAAUAUUUAGUGUAAGAUAUUAACCUUUCUAUUCGAUUAUAAUAAAUUCUAUAUUUUGGAAAAAAAAAAUUAGGGAAGAUUGUUUAGAGAAUUGGCUAGAGUUGUUGCUUUUUUAUUUAUGAGUCGAGCGACAGCGUUAGUAAAUUAAAUGUUAGAUUAGCUACCAACGAGGUUUGAAUUUAUGCCAUCAUGUAAGGGCACAACACUGUCCACUACUGUGGUAAAGGGCUAGAAUUUUAAUAAUAGAUAAUUGGGUGAAUGAUUUUCUGAUUACUCUAUGUCAACAAUAACAUAUACACAACACACACACACACACACACACAUACAAAUUCAACAUCCAAUUACGCCUAUUUCUAAGGCUAGGAAUCCGUGAUCCACCUUUGAUCUAGACUAAAACAGGAAAUUAAGGUAAAUCUUGCAAAUAUAUUACAAAGAUAAUUCUCAACACAAAACGAUAAUGAGCAAAGAAAGUGUAAUAAAUAUUGUUGUAGGAAAAUUAAGAGAAGGUGCUGUAUUUAGUAACACAUACACGAAAAUUUUGGUAGAAUAAUUCGACCCCAAAAGAAACUUUGAAAUAGGAGUUGAGGAGUAGUGCUACAAAUAGCACAAGAAAGUUUGAAUGUUUGUAGUAUUUGGGUAUGCAAACCUUUACACGACCUUAUCUAUACUCAAAAAGUUGAAUUAUGUAUUAUGCAUUAUAUGGAGAGUAACUUAGUGUCUUGAAGAAUAUAAAUUAUGGUUUAAAAAGUCCUCGUCGUAAAUUUUGAAAAUUUGUUGGAUAUGAUCACAUGUAGUUACAAUUCAAGUGUUGUCUUCUUUUUUUAUUUUUAUUUUUUUGUCAAAACUUGAGGUAUCUCACAUCCCAAAAGGUAGACUAAUUUUUAGUGGAGCUUGGAAAGCCUAAAGACAGUCCAGCCUAUCCCCAGCCACAAUUAAAUACCACAUUUCCUCCCAAGGUUUUUAAUAAGAUAAUCACUUGUAUUUUUGCCAACUUUAUGCCUCGAAUCAGAUACUACAGAUCAUACUGAACUUGAAAUUUUAACGUGUUUCUACUGCACCACUUGCAGUGGUUAUUAUUUAUACUAUCAAGAGGACAGACUUUGUCAUAAUUUUUGUGAAAAUACCAUUUAUGUCCCCACAUCUCUUUAUCCUUUGUUGCGAUAAAUAACCUUUAUAUAAUAAGAUUAAAAUAGGAAUUUUGUGGAUUUAAAUUAUUAAAUUAAAUUAGAGUUCUUCCACGUUUUUCUCCAUCUUUUUUCAAUAUGUUUCUCCCACGUGCAUAGAACGAUUGAAUGUUUGUAAUAUGCGAACCUUUUACACGACGUGACUUAUACUCGGACAAAAAAAAUUGAAUUUUAUCGUUGGCCGCUAAAGUCCCAUUCAUGGAAGAAAAUAUCCAAAAUAUCGUCGAUAUUUUCGUUUUUUUGAGUUACCGAUAUUUUAAUGAGUAUCUAAUGAAUUUUCUUCAAAAUAUCGCAAUAUUAUCGAUAAUAUCGCGAUAUUAGCUUCUAAUAUCGCGAUAUUAGUCAAAAAAUUCCUGAAAAUUUUGAAAAGUCACAAUUUUGAGCACAGAGGGGUUCGAAACCCUCCCACUUAACUCCUUAACACCUUAACCACUAUACCACUUAUGUUGUUGUGAUAAUAUGCUACAAUAUUUAUAUAUAUCUUUUUUUUUGAAUUCUUUUUACAAGAAACAAAUUUGCACAUUUUCCAAAUUUUUUGUGGUAUUAUAUUUUAAAUUGUGUCAAUUAAUUACUUAGUCAAUGACAUGUGGUUUUUAAUUUUUCUAUUUUUUUAUUUGGUCACUUACAUGGUAGGGCUGGAAAAAAUUCCGGAAAAUCCCAAACCAAACCGAAAAAGUCUCAAACCCAAACCAAAAAAUCCCAAACCAAAACCAUCCUGAAGUUCGGGAAUCCCAUCUCGAAAAAUACCGAAAUUUUCGAUAUGGGAUUGGUUUCCAAAUCCCAUUUGUUUGGUAAUCCCGAAAAAUACCGAAGUAUUCGGUUUCCUAUUGACUUUUGGGUUUUGGUUCUUGAAAACCAUUGUCAUGGUUGCUAACUACUCUUCAAAAUACACUCACUCUACACAUAGAGAUGAUGAAGAUAGUGACAAUUUUGAACCUCAUAGAAACUCUAUGUGGUACUAAGUCACUCAUGUAUCUUACCAUACAAUGUAUAAAGUGUAAAAUAUUGUACUAAUUCAUUAUAUAUAAAUGAUUAUGGUGUGUUUAGACUUCUUUAAUUAAUUUCUACAUAUUUUCUACACUCACAAUGUUUGUCAGCUCGCUAUAUAAUCAACUUGAUAAUGUUAAAUCCAUCAUGCAAUGCAUUUCCUUCCAAUUUUUUGUGAUAAACUAAUAGAUAAUUGACUAAAUAAACAUCCUGCAAAGUUUCAAUAAAAAUUUCCAAGUUUUUCUUACAAUUUCCGUGGUUUCCAUGUAAUUUUUAUCGAUAUCGAUAUUAUCCCGAUAUUUCCAUCGAUAUUUCCGUGUUUUCGGACUACCGAUAUUUCCGAUAUUACCGAUAUUUUCUUCCUUGGUCCCAUUUGACCUUGACAUAAUUUAUCAUGCAUUAUUUGGAGAGAGAAUAAAGUGUCUUAACGAAUAUAAAUUAUGAUUAAUAAAUCCUCGUUGUAAAAUUUCAAAAAUCAUAAGGUGUUACUAAUAUAAGUGUUGUAUAUACUAUUAUUGUUUUUUUUUUUUGUCAAAUCUGGAGGUAUCUCACAUCUCAAAGAAUAAGAUUAAUUCUCAAUGAGGCCGGUCAAGGCUAAGGCAUUACACCCCACUUUUGGCUAUGGUCAAAUAGCAAACAUCUUCUUAAAACUUUCAACUAAAAAAUCAUAUGUAUUUUGCCAACUUCGUACCUCGAACUCAAAGGCCACAAAGCAUACAUGGUUUGGAAUUUACUGCAUUUCUACUAGACCAUUUACCGCGAUUGUUGUCUAUAAUAUUAUUUAGAGAACACUCUCUCUGACUUUUCUUCAAAUACCAUUUAUGUCCCCACAGGUCCCCUUUUUUAUCCUUAGUUGCAAUAAAUAACCUUAAUAUAAUAAGAUUAAAAUAGACUUUUAUUUAAAAUUCUUCCACAUUUUUCUCCAGCUUCUCUUUCGAUAUGUUUCUCCUACAUGCAUAGCAUGUGUGAGAUUGCUAUUAUAACAAAAGAGUUGUUUAAUAAUACAUAUCAGGUGGUGAUAUUACAACUUAAACUUAAAGAGUUUCUCAAUAAUUUCGGGUAAUAUAUUGUGACAACUUUUUUUUAAAUGAAAAUGAUAAUACUACUCUAAGUUUACGUACACUUGGAAAAGGGAAAGAGUUUAAUCCGAAACACAAUAAAUUGAAGAGAAAGACUCUAUUCACCAAAGAAAAUCCAUCACUUGCAUUGUGACAUCUUUCUGAAAUGCAACUUUUCUUUAGGGGUGUGAUAUCCAUACACUCCAUUUUACUUCUCACACACCUUUUUAAUUUUCGGCCGUCAGAUCGGAUGAAUUGAAGAAGAUCAACAGACAUAAAUUAUCAAGGGAUGUGUGAGAAGUAAAAUGAGGUAUGUGGAUAGCACACCCCUUUCUUUAUUUCAUUACAUAUCAUAUCUUUUGCAUGUAAAUUUUCUUGAUGAUUUCCAAAUUUUAAAACGAUGCAAAACAACAUUAAUUAGUUUAAACUCAAACUAGCUCAAUGGGGAGGAGUAUAUGAAUUGAAUUCAAUUAGUGCACGCCAAGUGUUUGAUAUAUAUUUUGAUGCUCCAGAGUCCACAGGCAUAUCGUUCAUGAUAUUGCAUGCCAUUGUAAAAAGAAAACGUUCAUUAUUGCAUGACUCACGUCAAUGCAUAUUAAUUUAGAUAUCAUGUAUAAUUAAAAAGGUUUUACUUUACCGAUUGAGUCAUUUUUUUUGAUGUGACAGUUAUAUUGUCAUGUGAUGUUUGUAGAUGCAAAUUCUUUUGCUCUUUGUUCUUGGACAAAAUUGCACUUACAAAACAAAUAACACCUUAGGUCAAGGCCAAGAGCCUCACGCGCCCACAAUGAAUGGGGGAGCUUUGGCCAAAGAACCUUUAAUGCCAAAGUUAGAAUUUAGAGAGAAAAGUGUUUGGAGAGUUUUUGGAAGUUUUGCAAGAGUGUCGAACCUAGGUUUUUAGAGAAAAUGGGGUGAUAUAUAUAGGGCAUGGCCGGUUCCUGUUGGAGAAAAGGUGGCCGGCCCUUUGGGGUAUUUUUGUGUGAGAUGGGUGAUUUAAUUGGCAAUUAAUGAAUUAAUUAGGUAAUAAAUCCAUUAAUUAGCCAAUUAACUCAAUUUAUAUGGAAUUUGAAGAUUAUGGAACAAAUACCUUAUGGAGAAUAUAGGAUGAGGAUGGAUGAAAUAAUUUUGAAUUUGUUACAUAUUUUGGGCACUUUUGGCUUAAUUGAAGAAUGGUUGUCCACUGCCCGAUCGUAGGAAAUCCGGUGUGCCUCAAGGGUAAUUUUGUCUUUUUCAUAAAAAAUUCACGUGUCACCUUAUGAUUAUUUUUGGCUCCACAAUAUUAUUUAUCCAUCAAAUUAUAACGUGCGAAGUACUAACACCAAGUGACAGUGGAGCCGUCUCACUCCAAGGUUGGCAUCAAAGGUGCCUUUUAAACCAGAUGUAGAGUCCUCACUAUGCACACACACAUAUAUAUGGUAUAAUAGGUAUCUCUGCAAACAUUGUCAGAGGUUUUUGUGGAGCAGGUAAUAAAUUUUCGCAAUUCUGCAGUUUAAUUUCUUGUCAAUAAAAUGGCAGUUGCUCUUAAACUCACUGUUAAAUUAAGGAAGGUGCUAUCUACACAUCAUUUUUUUAUCUCUCACACAUUUUUCUUAAUUUUGGCCGUAAGAUUGAAUGAAUUAAAAAAAUUAAUAGACAAAAUUACCAAUGAUGUGCUAGAGGUAAAAAGAGGUGUGUAAAUAGCACUACCUUAAAUUAGAAGGAAAACUAAUGAAAAGAGCUUGAAAACUUUGAGUUUUAACGAUAAGGACAAAAUAAAGGGUAAAGUAAAUAGUACUAGGUUUGACUUUUUAAUGUAAAAAUAUGAUUUUUCUUUAAAGUGAACAGUACUGUGAGCUUUUUGUUAAAACUCCCUAAAUUAAAAGGUAAAUAAACUCAUGCUAGAGCUAAAGAUGCAUACAUGCCCAAAAAGAAAUAUUAAAUAAAGAAUUUAUUCUAUACUUCGUCAUAUUCAGUCAACUUCUUCAUAUACAUUGUAAAGCUAAUACACUUUAUUUUUACAUGUAAGGAAAAAAAAAACCUAGACUGCAGGCAUUUUCCUGUGCUUAUUCACUGCUAGGAAAAUAUAUAAAAUGUUUAAUUUGAUUUAAAAUUAAUUCUGCUAAUGCUUUUCGUUGAUGGUUGCACUUCGAUGUAGAAUCUUUGGAAUUGGUACUACUUCAAGGUGUGGUCGGAUUUGGACCUCCGGAAGGGGUAGUGCCCCUAAGUAUUUGCCUGAUCAAAGGGAAGAAGGGACGAUCCAUCUGAUGCAUAAACUUUUCUUCCCCAUGCAACACUCUGCAGGCCUCGGAAGAUUGCAUGUUCAUAAGAAAAACCAUUAAAAACACUGCCACCAAAAAUAUUUUUAGAAACUUCAUUUUGUUGGGCAAACAAAGACUAUUUUGCAUCUAAUUUUCUGCGGAAGAAGAAAUGAAGGAAUGAAUGAAGAUAAAGUUAAAGGUUUGUUGCGAAAACAAAGAUUUUGCUUCUUUUAUCUGUCUGUGAAAAACAGAAAGGAUUGAAGGAAUUAAGGAAUGAAUGAAUAGAUGGGGAACAUGGGGCUUUUUAUAUGCAUCAAUUAAGACCAACUUUCAUAUGACUUUGAUUUUUUAAUAUAAAUCUAUUUGUUUCGUUGUUUUGACUAUUAAAUGAUAUAUGCUAAGGACUUAGCAGAAUUGAAUGGGUAGUCAUAUCCGCAAGGGUUUUGGUUUUAGGGUUUCACUGUAUUGUGGACCUGUAAAAAAAUCAAAGCUAAUUAAUUAGGCUUAGAUGUCAAAAUGGUCCUUGUCUUAUAACUAUAUGGCCAAUUUAGUCCACAUGUUUUCGAUUUGGCUAAUUUAGUCCUUAUGUUUGUCUCCUUUAGUCAAUUAAGGACAUUUCAUUCAGUCUUGUUAAAAAAAUCAUAAGAAAAAUUAUAAGAUAUAUGAUUACCCUUUCUUUUUACAGAAAAAUGCAAAUCAAUGAGAAAUAACACAUAUAAGAGAUAAAACUUACAGUCUGAAAAAUGAUUAAGGUUGUGACGUCAUAGAAAAUAGAGCAGGUAACGUUAGGAAGGAGACUUCGGGGGAGUUGGGAGGACAUUAAUUUUUAUUUCAUUUUUAAAUAUUUUAAAUCAAAUAAAUAAUUUUAUAAUAAUUAUAAUUUUUUGUAAUAAUUUAAUAAUUAAGUUAUAAUAGUUUAUACAGAAAUUAGAUGGAAAUAUCCUUAAUUGGCUAAAGGAGAUCACUACUAGAAAAUUUGACUUUACCGACAAAAGUAGUUUGUUGGCAAAAGUCAAAAUUUGUAGGCAAAGUGUCUUUCCCGAGGAAAAAAUUUGUCGGCAAUUUUGUCACGAACAGCAUGUCGCCUAAGAGUUUUGCCGACGAAUUUUGGUAUUUCAUCGGCUAAGAUUCAACUUUUCCCGUCAAAAUCUUAUUUGUCGGCAUUUCCAUCUUUUCCGACAAAUAAUUCAUCGGUAUAGGCCUUUUUAGCCGACGAAUAAUACUUUUUAGCCUACAAAAUGUGUUUGUCGCCAUGAAUAUUUCGUCGGCACAACCUUCUCUUUGCCGACAAAUUGGUUUUGUCAAGAAGACAUUUAAUUUAUAAAAAAAAAUGCUUUGAUGCUCAGCUCUUACAUAUAUCAAAAUACAAUAGACAAUUGUUAAGAAACAAUAUUUUACUGAUUGAUAAAUGUUGAAUGUACAUCUAGAGUGUAAUACAAAAGUAUCGUUAGUGAAAUCAUAAAACAAUUGAAGGAAUGUUACACAUGAACCAAAUAAAAAAUAUCAAAAGUCAUGGACUGAACUGUUCAUACAAAAGCUCCCCUUGUCCUGGUCUCUCGUCCAUCUCUGCAGUAGGAUUGGCUAAUGGCUCCUCAGGCGACCCAAACUCUCAUGUAACUCAAACUUGAACUCCCUGCAUCAACUAGCCAUGAUUCUGUUGAGGUAGUCAUAGUUUUCGUAAACGGUUAGAUUGAAAUAAUGAUUAGAAGCUCUCAAAUGUGCUAAAUAUCAUUCCUCUAGAUUGAUAUAAUGAUAGAGAUCGUAAAAAAUAUACUGGAAGCUUCUCAGAGUCUAACUUCUAAAAUUAGAGUCUUUAUUUCCACAACACAAGAAAAUGAGCAUUCCUAGCUUUAGAUCAAAUUACCUUCAAAAGUUCAAUAACCCCACAUAUGCAAACUCAAACAUUUAAAAAGAUUAUAUUACGAGUGCAAUUAUAUAUUUCUCGUUUAAUGCUAAUAUAAAAAAUGUGAGCAUUUGUCAUCAUGCAAGAGGUGGCUUACUGAAGAGCAUCAAUUGCAACCUUAAACCUUGGACGAUAUAGCACCAUAGUAGAAAAUGGGGCAAAGCUGCAAUAACACCACAGUAGUACAAUAAAAAAUGAAAACUUAACAUCAUAUUAGUGUCAAGCAUAUAGUGAGUUUGAUUAAGCAUCGGACAUUUAUCAUACAUAGAUUCUUAGAGGCCAGGACAAUGGUUCAUCCAACCUUGUAAUGAACAUUUCAAACCACCUGCCAAUUAAGAGGUUUUCUUUAGUCCCUUAAUAAGAUGCAAAUCAAAAUGAAUGAAAGGAGGUGCAAUAAGUUACACAAUAAUAAUUAGUAGCAGUUCAAAUCUCGGAUUAAUUAGCAGCCCUCAAGUAAGGAGAGGUUCUCCUUUAGCCUCUUAUGUAAUAGCUGACUAAAGCAUUCAGUUAUUUUCAUCCAAUCGAGGUAUAUCAAACAUCUGAUUAAACCACAAACUACAGAGCUUUAUUAGAGUUUACACAAACAUGAAAAAUCUAACAAAGAGGAUUAGUUCAAUAAAACAUGUAGUGUCAAUGUAACAUAAUUAAGAUUAAGAGAUGACUGAUGCCAUACAACAACUGUUUUCAGCAUAAGAACUCCAUGUACAAGUCUCGCAUUUUCUGUGUUGACAUUGAAUCCAAGUCCAAUUGCACUUCAGGACAAGAUCCUAAAAUGCAACAUACAAUAAAUUUAAACCACUGCACUGUUCAUAACCAAAUGAUACUAGCAUAGUAAUAUUUACAUGGUCACCUGCUGAAUGUGAAGCAAGGCGCCAAAAAGGCUUGCUUCUUGGACAACUUGGGAAGGUUUCUUUGCUCUAACUCACUUCAGAAAACACACAUAUCACCAAAUGAAAAGUACCGUUAACAUCACAGUUAACAAACCCGAGCAAAUAAAAAAUAUGAAGCCAUUUUCUAACCUUGUUUGACAACCUAUUCAAUUCCCUUCAACAGGUACUUUUGAAAAAUUACAAGAACCAAGCAUUGACCCUGCACCAUAAAAAUCUUUCAAACAUACCCAAAUUAAACCAUUACAAGAACCAAACAUAAAACAAGAAAUCAUUCAAGUCACCUCCAAAAUGUAAAUGGAUUGGAAAUCAAUAUCAAACCAAUAUCACACAAAAUGGCAUCUAGUUAAUUAAAAAUUAUAUUAAAUAAAAAGAAAAUAACUAAACCGCUAUACCUUUGGCGCGUUGCGGGUUUGUGAUUGGGAAUUGAAUAGACGGGCCGAAGGAGAGAGAGCCGGAGCAGAUCGAGGCUAAAGGAGUGGGCUGCGAGAGAAACAAUUCGGUAUUUGUGGAGAUUUGGGGUUUUCGUGUUUAACCAGAUGAUCGGGAUAAGAAACCAAUCUAGAGCCUAGAGGGUGAUGACUGCAAGGUAAUUUCAGAGUUGGAGUAGGAGGUGGCAUCGAAGACUUUGUAGAAUAGGAGCGCAGAUUCGAGUCCACGAACGGAAGACGACAGAGCGAGAGAGACGAGGCAGCAACAGAUAUGUGAGAAACGAGGGAGAAGCCCGGCGCUAAUUUUUUAAUUAAUUAGGUUUAGGAAUUUGAAGAUUACCAAUUUUAAUUCUAACCGGCAAUUGUUCAAAAAAAAUUCUAAACGGCAAAAUAAUUUUUUUGUUGCCCACUUAAUUAAAGAAAACGCGCGACUUAAAAAAAAAUCAUUUUCAAGAAGGCGGGAAAACUCCCACCAAAUUCUUACCCAAUAAAAAUCAAGUUUGUCGGCUAACAAUAUCUUCGCCGACAAAAUAUUUGUUGGCCAUAACCUUAAGUCGUCGGGAGAAGUUCGUAUUUAGCCAACAAACCAAAAAAAUUGUCGGGUAAAAACUUUUUUGCCGACAAAAUAAGUUUUGUUGGCUCAAAAUUCAUCGGCAAAAUUAGAUUUUCCAGUAGUGGAUAAACACAAGGACCAAAUUGGUCAAAUUAAAAACACAUGGACUAAAUUGACUUAAUGACUAAAACACAUGGAUCUUUUUAACAUUUAAGCCUUAAUUAUAUAAUAACACAAUCCUUUCUUGAUGCCCAAAAAUAGCACAUUUUUUCUACUCUUAAGUUCCUGCAAGAAACAUUUUACGCAUAAUUUAAGUUGAGCUGCCACUCAGUACUAUGGUCUAGUGGUAUUCCUUUUCACUUGAAUAUGGCUGGGCAACCGUCCAAGGCCCCAAAAAAUUGGGGGCACCGAAAUUAUUAAAGUGUUAUGUUAUAUUGAUAUAUAUUUUUUUAUAAGAGUAUAGAUUUUAAUUUGGUUAAUUGACAAAGAAAUUUAACUAUAAUUGGUGGUUUUUUUUUGUUAAAAUUAAUGAGGAGGUCUUGGGUUCAAAGCACCGUGUGUAUUUAUUUUAUUUUCAAUUUUUACAAAUUUCUUUUCAUAUGAGUAUAAAUUUAUAAAAUUUGGUAAGUAGUUGUUUAUAUUAUUUAAAAUAAACAAGGAGGUCCCGACUUCAAAACAAUAUAUGUCUCUUUUACUUUUCAACUUUUACGAAUUUAUUUUCAUGGGUUUAAAGUUAUGAAAAUUGGCUAAAUGAUCUAGAGGUUAAUCAAAAGUAAUGGUUUUUGUUGCUAAAAUUAACGAGAGAUCUUGAGUUCGAAAUGUUGUGUGCAUGUUUGUUCUUUUCAAUUUUUACGAGUUUCUAUUUGGUUGUUAAUUUCUUUUUAAUUAUUAGCUAGUAGAUAUGUGUGGCAAUUUUAAAACAUUUGUGUCAAUUCAAGUCUAAAUUUCAACAAAGAAUAAUGCAUAGACCAAAUUUGCAAAUCAUAUGAUGUGUCACCAAUAAGUUUAAUUUAGUAUCAUUUAUUGCUUAUACAUAUCAAUUAAAGACUCGAAAGCAUCAUUAUUUUUAUAGACCCAUAUUGACAAGAUUAGUAAAUAAGAAAAAACACAUCACGAUUUAUAUAAAAACACUUUAAAAGUUCAGGUAGAAAAACAAGACUCAUCAUCCAUCUACUUGUAAGCCCGAAGUUUUUUCGUUCCGGUACAAAAGAAAUUAAUUAAUUUUUCCGUGCUUUUAAAUUAUUGAGCUUGAAGUGCUUUUGUAAGUAAUAACUUUAUUGAAGUUUUACGUGUGAAAACAAUAAUUUUCUUAUAUAAAGUUAGGGCACAUUUUUUUGGGUCGCCCAGGGCCUUAAAAAUCUCAAAACCGGCCCUGCUUUAAGUAGGUUAUUACUUAAUAAAGGUGCGGCUAAAAAAAUAUUAUUAUUGUUUACUUAGUUAUCCUCAAUAAAAAUUGUAUAGAUACAAAGAACUAUUGACAAAAAAAAAAAAAAAGAUAAGAAGAACUAUUAGUGGAGUACGUUGGUUUCCAAGAUGUAAAAUAUGCAAAAAAAAAAAAAAAAAUACACUCAACCUUUAAAAUCUAUUGCAUAUAUGUACGUAUGUAGUACUUUCUUUAAGUUAAUGCCUAUCUAUAAACAUGCUUGUGAAGCUAAAAAUAGUAUGGCUUCAACAAGAAAUUGUCCAUAUUGACGAGGUAUUACGUACUCGUAAGUUCAAAGGCGUGAUAUCAACUCUAAAAAAUAAAAUAUUGUCUCAAAUAAUUAUAGAGAAAUAUUUUAGUUCAUCUUAAAUGUUUACUUGUGACAUUGCAUAUUUUUGUACUUAUGGACAAUUAUUAUUAUAUGGAGGUGAUUUUCCUUAAUACGGGACAUAUGACAAUUAUAACUUAUUACAAUGUAGAGUUUAUUUAUAUACAUAACUAGCUCCAAGUUUGGACCAUAAAUUUUUAUGACUAUAAAGAAGGUUAUUCUUAAAUAGAGCAUUAUUAUAAAGAUGUUUUACUAUAUAUUUUUAGGCCUUUUUUUUUAUAUUAAGUUGUCCUGAUUCAAUUAUGUUUUCUUUUAGUUUUAUUAACAAUUACUAAUACUAUAGAGGUAAUUUGACCAACUCUUGUAGAGUUUUUGUUACUAUUUUCUUGCAUCGCAAUUUUGAACUGAGAUUGGAGUUUGGCAUGCAAGUAAAAGCGUGUAUAAGGCCUUUGAAGUUUGAACGUUGACUAUUUUAAUUGAAGUUUUAGUACGCUGAGGUAUAGUAUUGGUGUGUGCUAACCUUUUACACGACAUGAAUACUUUAACACACAUACACACACAAAAAUUGAAUCAUAUUGUGAUGACUCAAGUCUUAUUUGACUUGAAAUGUGCCCAAGCGUGUUUAUUAAAUUAACUAAGACAACUCAAAACUAAUUAAGACCUCUCUAAUCCACUAGCCAGACCUUAGUAUUGUUUUUUCUUAGUUUUAUAGGAUAAAUCGAAUAAGAAUAAGUCAUGAUGUCUAGAAAGGUUGUCUAAAAUGAUUCGCUGUGAAAUUUGAACUUAUAAUCUUCUUUGGAAAAAUGAAAAUCAGGUGCCGCUAAUCAGGGCCGGCCCUGAGGGGGUGCCAGUCGUGCGACCGCACAGGGCCCCCGAUUUUUAGGGGCCCCUGAAUUUUAAUAACCUUUGUAAUGUACUACAUAUAAAAACAAUGUGAACACAAUUCACAUUGUUUCCUUAGGGGAAUCGUCAAGCGCUGAUACUUGCGUUUGUGUUUGCACGGGUUCGACUCCCAGUAGAACCAUUUUGGGCUUUUUUUUAAACUACAUUAAUUUUUUUUCUUUUCUCUUUAAUAUUUGUAGUUUAAUUUCUAUCAUUAUAAAAGAGAACUUUUGAUGAUAAAUCUAUAAUUAGGAAUAUCAUAAUUAAUUAAAAUCCUUAAAAAGUUUGAAGAUAUAAUCUUUAAAACCCCCUUUUCAUAUAUGACAUCAUUUAAUCAAAUACAUAUCGUUCGUUUAUUCUUUUGGUCAGCUUUUAAGGAUCAUCUAAUUUUCAUCCUAUUUGAAAACCAUUUAGUCAUCCAUAUAUAAUAAAACUUUGCUCACAACACUAAAGUGGAGGUGAGUAGGUGAUGCUCAUCCCCCUAUUGAUUACCGUUAAAUUAAUUUGGUUUAAUUGAUUUAAGACACGAAUCUCAAAUUCUAACUAAUCCAACAACAAUCAACCGAGUGAGGGUUAGAAUCAUUCUCACUUUAGGGAGUGAGAAAAAAUGCAUUAAAAAAACUUACAGCUCAUUAUAAGAUGCUACAAAUAUCAUAACCAGUGAUUUGUUUAACUAGUUCAUAAUAAAGAACAUGAGUUGUUCUGAUUAUGAUAUAUGUACGGUGAUAUGAUAUGUACAUAUCCACCACACCAUGCUUUUGUAUUUAAAAAGUAAGUUCAAACCCAAAAACAUAAAGAAUGUAGAUACAUAGCCACCAAACCAUGCUUCUUUUUUAUUUAUUUUCUUUUGCGUUUAUAUCAAUUUAUACACAAGAAAUAUAUAUAUAUAUAUAUAUAUAUAAAAGAAAAUAUAGCAACCAAAAUUUAAAUCUUGUAAGGGCCUCUGUUUGAGUCUCGCACAAGGCCUCCAAAAUCUCAGGACCGGCCCUGCCGCUAAUCCAAAACGAUAAUAAGCGAACAAAGUGUAUUAAAAUAUUAUUGGAGGAAAAUGAAGAGAAUGUGUUGUACUUAAUUAAACGUGCAAGAAAAUUUUGGUAGAAAUUAGUUAAUUUGACCUCAAAAGAAAUGUUGAAAGAGGAAUUGAGGAAUAGUUUGGAUCAAAUGAUAUCACUGCUGACAACUUUGGAUCAUAUUCUCUAUUUUGUCUUUCUCUUCUAUAUAAAAUCAAUCUAAUAUAUGUUGACGUGGCUUAACCGUGACUGUUCAAAUAGGAAGGAAGGGAAGGAGAGGGAAAAAAAGAGGGGAGAUAUACACACACACACACUCUUAAAUUUAAACCUUAAGCUCACAAGACAUACACUCAAAUUGUCAUUCAAAGUGUUUGGGGUUAAAGUGUAUACGCUCAAAAGAUCAUUAUAUGAAUGCUCUACCAUAAGCAUGCAGAUUGAUCUCAUCUCCACACAUCAAAAAUUACCUUCUUUGGAUCAAGUAGGUCUUUGUGAAGGGUUGUAAAGGGGCUUCGGUGACUUGGUUAAUCAAAUAAAGAAUAUGGGAAACACAAAGUCUAAGAAACUAAUAGAGUAGUUGGAAAUGAAACCGAGAGAGACGUGCGACAAUUAACCAAGGCAAUAAAUUGAGCAGUUUGAUGAACGACACAUAACUGCACAAUGAAUAUCUGAUGAUGGUAGCUCACUUGUGACUCAUAAUGAUUUCUUUUCCUCUUUUCUUCUUUUGUUCUUCAUUAGUAGUUGGGCUUUCUUCAUAAAAUUUUCAUCUUCAACUUUUAAUAACCUUGAACUCUCUCUCCUUUUAAAAAAACGUAUUCUACUAGCUUCUUAGUAGGGUAGGGAAUUUUUAAUAUAAGAGGCUAGGUAAGGAAAAUGUAGGUUUAAGAACAAAAGGCUUACAUAUAGGCUCAUAAGAGCUGACUAGGGGAAAAGCAUGUAUAAGGCCCUGACAUAUAUGGCAAUGGUGGUAAAGUUCUACUACCUACUGUCGUCUCCAAAAUAAAGUAAUAUAUGAUACAAAGUUUUGAGAGAUCUUAAGUCAAAUUCUAGAGAUGCAAAACACAUUAGAUCACACACACGAAUUAAAAAGAGUAUAAAAAUGCAUACACUAUAUUUAGGCACAAAAGCUCACAUGGGUGCGGGUUUUACUCAAGCUAAACAUGUUCAACUCAUUAACAUUCAUAUAUUAUCAAUAAGAGGCUAUUGUCCACAACAGGUCAAACAUAUCAUGCUAGGGUCAUGCUAUCAAGUGAACAAAGCUAGAACUCAUAUGAAAUCAUACUUUUCCAUUUUACCUCAUAUAUAUAUAUAUAUAUUUUUUUUAUUUUUAUUUUUUUAACAAGAAGACAGAAAAAUGCAGUAUCAAUGCUAUAUGAACAUGCAAGCAUACAUAAAUGAAAGCAUUUGCAAAGAGAGAGCUCAGUCAAUAUAAACAAUUUGAAGGUGGAGAGGAAUUGACAAAUACACCACUUUGAUUCUCUUUUAUUCUCCAAACUUGUUGCACUUUUGGAACAACCGUACUCGGAACAUAUAUAAUUCUUGCAAUCCGAUUAAUCUCUUUCAAAUAAGUCACAAAUUGUUUCUUAAGAUUUGCUUUUUUAGAGUUCAUUGAAACUUUUUUCUUGAGAAGAAUUUUUCUUCCUAAGCUUAUUGCACUUAGGCCGGAUGUGACCAGGAAUCCCACAAAAAUGACAUAUAGGAAUGAACUUCCUAGAUUGUUUGGGUUUGUUAGGAUUAACUGAAGUCUUGGCAGGAUUUGACACAUUUGCAAAGAUUGUAGAAGUUUCAGAAGUAAGACCUAAAACUGGAUUGACACCUACUUUCAAGCUAGGAAAUAUCAAACGCUUUGACAAAUCUUGUGAUGGAAGAAGAACUAAUAGUCUUUUCAAACUCAAAUCCUAGACCUUUUUUAUCUCCAAAAUUCUUUCCAUAGCUAAGCAUCUUGUCAAAUUUUCCCGAACAUGCUUAAUUCCUGAACUUUGUUUUUUAUCUCAACUAGUUCAUCCUAAAGAACUUUCUUAUCAAACGUGAGAGUGCUUUUGUGGUUUGAAGAAUAUGUAUCUUCUCUAACAAUGACUCUCAUAGUUUCUCUCUAUUGUCUAACUAAGAUUGAUGCUCAGCUUUAGCUUCCUUCUUUUCACUUUCAGCUAAUGCAAGUUUCUUUUUCGAGUUAGAGUUAUCCUUCUUUUCUUUACUUGCACACUGAUGUCUUAAAGAUUAGAAUAUUUUCUCAGGAUUUCUUCCAAGUCAGGUUCCUCAACAAAUGAACCUUCUGUGUCAUAUCCAUCAAUAGUUCCUAUAAAGGUAGUUGUAUCCUUUUCAUUUUCAGAGGAAGAUGCAUCUCCUGAAUCAUUAUCUCUCCAAGUAACAUUCAUUGCCUUAUUCUUCUUCUCCUUCUUCUUGAUAGUAUUUGCACACUCAUAAGCAAUAUGUCCAUACCCUUGGCAUUCAUGACAUUGCGCUCUAUUGUUAGAACUCUUACACUCCCUAGUUCUAGAGGAUUUAGAUGCUUUGUCAUGUGAGACAUCUAGAGAACGAAAGUUUCUAGAGUUUGAACCUAAGUUGGUUCGUUGCUCACGACCCUUGGAAUUCUGAGAGUUGAGAAACCUUCUAAUUUGCAUGGUUAAUGCAACCAAUUCAUCUUCGAACAAGUCAUCAAUUGAGCCAUCGCUUUCUUCUUCUUUGACAUCUUUGAGAGCAAUGUUUUUCAUCUUAUUGGAAUUAGGAAGCUCUAACUCAUGUUUGCAGAGGGCCAAUCAGUUGUUCGAGCUUGUAGGUGUUUAGAUCUUUUGAUUCCUCAAUUGCAGUCCUUUUAAUAUGAAACCUCAUAGGAAGUGAUCUUAAGAUCUUUUUUCACAAUUCUAUAUUUUGGAAUGCUGUCACCAAGAUUGUGGCAGCCAUUGACAAUUACGCUAAGCUUAGCAUAUAAGUCAAAGAAACUCUCAUCAUCAAACAUUGUGAUAUUUUCAAAUUUUGUGAUGAGAUGUUGAAACUUGGAUUCUUUAACAGUUUAGUAACUUCAAGAAUAUCCCAAACUUCUUUCGCCAUUGUACACUUGCUUAUGUAAUCGAAUUGUUCUGGCGAAACGGCUAUGAAGAAAGUAUUCAAAGCCUUUUGGUUAAAAGUGCUAGAGCUACGCUCAUCAUUGCUCAAUUCUUUCCUAGGCUUGAGCUUAGAUAUAGAAUCAAAGGACUUUCCUUCACAUUUUGUUUCUUUGAUCAUCAGAGGUUCCCAACCUUCUUCAACAGCAAGCCACACCUUGUCGUCUUGCGCCCACAAAAACGAUUUCAUUUUUGCCUUCCACGCAGCAUAGUUGUCACCAUCAAAGUGUGGUGGAUGAGAAAUUGAACCCAUAGCAUGAUUCAUCCUAGGCAAUCAACAUCCUCACAACUGUUGGAAAUUAUAUAUUAUGAUAUGAAAUAUUGUAAUAUAUAAUUUUAACAAUUGAAUGAAAAAUAGUGUUAACCAAUUUCUUAGAAAGGUUAUGUUGUUUAGGUGAUACUUGAUAAGUGAUGUAUACUUAUAGAUGAAAAGUUACAUCUCUUUAAUAAGUAGAAGUUGGAUUCUAUAUAAACACAUGAAACCAUUGGUAUUAAAGAUAGAAAAUUAGAGUUAAUUUUUAGUCUUGAGAAAUAGGGUUUCCCCACUUUGUUUCUCAAAUGAUUCGUGUGUCAAAUUCCGAGUCGUGUCUUGAGAGUACAAAAUAUAUAAAGUUCGCUAGAGUCCAAAGAUUGAAGUGCUUUGACUUCGGAUUAUAGAUUGUUGAAUCCUGGGAGAUGGACGCCUACCGAACUACAAGCACAAGAGUAGGGGCAAAAUUCUAUCUUUAGGACAUUGCAUUUAUGCAAGCCUCAAUCUCCAAGUUUGUCAGUUAUUCUAACUUUCACUCUAGUUGUUUAUAUUAAUCUCAAAUAUAAUUGAUGUUGUGAAUUUCUUUAUGAUUAUUAUCAUUGGAAUUAUAUUGUUAUUUUUUCAUAUUUUCUAAUAUUGCUCCAACAACAACCUUAAUCUUGGAGAGCUUGUUCGGCGCUUUCCUGGUGGUCUGGUGAUGCAAAGAAUGCGAGAUCUACCUUGAGAUAAUGAGGUUAUAACCGAGGUGUGUCCAUUGUUUGUUGAAAAAUCUUUCCACACGCCCUUUUUAGGCCUUGGUUAAGCAUUGUGGCUUUGAGAAUUUAUGGAAGGGAGCUCUCUUCGGAGGAGACCCUACUAUAAGAAGAAAAGAGAAAUUCAUUGUGCAAAAAGGUAUUUAGACAACUUUUUUUAAUUAAUUAUUAAACCCACAUCAGCACAUAACAAAUUUUUUUACAGAAUUGUGGUGGAAUGAUCAUAUUCAUUUACAACACCUAUUUUCAUGGACUACAUUGAUUGAUUUUCAAUUUUAGGGACCAUAUUGAUGGUGUGGGUCAAUUUCAGGGGCCAUUUUGAUGAUGUAGGUCAAUUUUAGGGACCAUUUGUGAUAUAAACCUGUAAAUGUUGUGGGGCCUAUUUAGGUGCCACAUCAGUACUUAACGAAAUUUUUAAUAGAAUUGUGAUGGAAUGACUAAAUUGAUUUGCAAUACCUAUUUUCAAGGACUACAUUGAUUGAUUUCUAAUUUCAAGGACCAUCUUGAUGAUGAGAGUCAAUUUAAGGGACCAUUUGUGAUCAAAACCCAUAAAUUUAUUGGUUAUUUUAACUAAACUACCGUUGGAUGUUUUUAAAUCAAUCCACUGAAUUUGAAUUAAUUAUUGCAACUAAGAAGCUGGGCCCCAAAAAGGGCUAAGAGGGGGCUACAUUUGGUCAAUCUCAUGCCCUUUAGGCCAAAUAAUGGCCUAAUGGGCUCCAUAGAAUUAUAGCUCAGUAGUCAGUUGGAGAUGAAUUUUGAAUAAAUCAGGCCAAUUUUUUUGCUUUUAAACCUUUAGCCCUCUUCAUUGGAGAUGGCCUUAGUUGCAAAAUUCCUGCAUGCAUGUUACAGGCAUUUUAAAUAUCAUGAAUUAAUAGACCAUGUUAUUUACCAUAUAUGAUUGAGCAAAUACUCAAGGCUUGUGAGGAAUUUGUUAUUUUUUUCCGGUUACAUAUAUAGGCUUCAAAUUAUUCCCUUGAUCGUUAAGCUCUACCUCGCUUCAACUUUCAAGACCAUGUUUUGUGUCAUCUGUAGUUAAAUAAUGUUGCAUUAAGCAGGGUAAAAAUAAAAAAUAAAAAACCUGGAAUAUCAGAAAAAAUUGCUCGGGGAGUUCUUUGAGUUGUCUGCAUGCAGAAGAACACUUAACCGAAUUAGUCUGAACAGCCAUUAGAUGUCGAUAAGUAGGAGCCGCCGGUCAGUAGCAUGGCACACUACCACGACAACUAAUUGAAUUCCAAACAUAUAUAUGCAAAAAUAGUUUUAAUCAACUAUAGAGUUUCUCUUACAUAUAUAGAUUAUAUCAAACAGCCCAUCGCAUUAUUGGGAGUUCGAUACUUCUUCGGUGCUGACAGGCAUGGCAUAUUUUGUGGUUGCAUUAAUUUACUUCCUUUAGUUGGUGGGGUUGUUGAACCUAUUUCAGACAUCUUGAUCACUAAAAUCGACUAAAGUGUACACUAUUUCUCUACAAACAAAAACAAGGUCAAUUGAAGCUGGCUAAAGCUGAAAACUCGAGGAAAAUUAAAGGUGGGUGUGUUGAGAACUGGAGAAUGCUAAACCCUCUAUUUAUACUAGUUUGUUGUAGGCUUAUUUCCUUUCCCGAAAACAAAGUUCUAAAUAGGCUAGGAAAAAAUAUAAAAUCAAAAUCUUUCCAAACCAUAGUAGGAUAUAUGGCUAAAUCAUUACAGAGAAAGGCCCGACCAAAAUAUCCUACAGAGAAAGGGAGAAAAAAGAAAAAAAAAAAAAGCUUUUCCAACCAUAAUAUAGGUAUAGCUAUAAUCCCAGAUAGAAAGGGAGAACACAAAUAGUAAGAUAUGAGAACAAAUAUACAGUAUAUGAAUUCAAGGAGAAAAGGUAAGUUAGACGCCGUUUUAUGCUUUACUCUUUAGAUAUCGCAUUCCCUUUUUAUUCGCUUUUUCUUCCCUUCUCCGUUCUGGUUAAAGAGUGAACAUGAAGAAAUUAAUACUCAAAAGUUGAUCAAUUAUAUUCCAUAGACACGACUGAGAAAAUUGGAAUUGAACGUGUUGGGUUAAUCAGUGGAAGGUUUCUUAAUUGUCAAAAUGAUCAAUUUUUUGUUUACAUGGGAUGUAGAUUAAUAGUAUGUAAUGGGAAAAAGAUAUACACAUGUUUUCAAGAUUUCCGAAGUUUCCCUAUGGUAGCGUUUGGUACGAAGAUAGGAUGGAACAGGACCAACGGGAUGGAAUGGAACAAAAUAGAGGUUUCAUGCUACGUUUGGUACGCAUAUGAUGGAAUGGGACAAUCAUUCUAUUAUGUGUUUGGUACGCGUAGGAUGGAAUGGAACGAAGGACUAAAUGACAAACUCACCCAAGUUUCUUUGUUGACACCAUCGACUCAACCUCAUGGAUUACCUGCAAAACUUGGAUUUUCUACAACCAUAUAUAUGAAGGAUUUUCUGCACGACUUGGAUGAACUUCUCUCAAGAACAAUUUUUUUUACAACCCUAAAACUUGUUUGGUAUCUAACCUGGAAACUAUUUUAAAUCUUCAAAGAUUUAGGCUAUAUAACCCAAAAACUUGUUUGUACAAAACCAUUAGAUGGUAGUGGCUGAGGGAGGAUAUUAAGGUCAGGUCGGGAUCCGAGAAUCUUUACGACUUGAUUUGGAACUCUCAAUUUCACACUAAUACUAUGAAGUCGUGUUGUCUUCAGAUGGGUUUUGUUCACAUAUAUGGUGGUGGGUUGCUAAUUUCAAAUGUUGCCAUUGAAAUUGAGGAAGUUUGAAAUAAAGCUUUGGUAAUGGCGGAGAGGUGAUGUUAGGGCUUGUGGGUGAUUAGAGUGAGAGGACAGUGGGUCAGGGAUGGUGGAAGAAAAUAUCUCAUUUGCGAAAAGAUCCAUGUCACGGUCGUCAAAACAUCUCUCUCAGUCGCCGGAAACAUUAUUCUUGUCACCGCCACUUACUCUCAAUUGAUGUUUGGUGUCGUUGGCCUCGAUGCCAAGGUCCUGCAGAUAUUGUGAAGAAGAAAAAAAAAGGUGUAAUUAUUGAAAAAUAUAAGGGGCAUUGUUGUCUUAAAAUUUUAUAAUUUUGUGUUCCACGGGGUGGAACGAGUCAUUCCAGGAGGGGAGGUGAAACAUAAAUUUAACCAAAAUUCGUUUUGUAAGACAACGCGUCUCACUGUCUUUGGCUCACCAAACGUGGGACGAGCGCAUUCCGUCCCAUCUCACGUACCAAACGGUACCUAGGAUCAUAAUAGAAUUUUAAUUAAUUUAUAAAUAAUUCAUAUAUAAGAUUUGUUUGUCAAAGGUUGGUGACACGCCUCAACCUCGAUAUCCCCAAAUACUAGGAUAGGCAUGUAUUGGCCGACACCUGAGGGUGAUGAAGCCAUAUUAAACAUGCAUACAAAUAAAAUAGGUAAUUAGACAGAAAUAUGCCAAAGCAGAAACAUGUUUAGAGCAUACAACUAAUCAUGAAUAAUGUGAAAGAAUUACAAUAAAAGUGUAUGAAUAAAGGAAUGAGUUCUACUUUGAAAAGACUCGAAGAUACCUAAGCGGAAAUGCCCAGACGCUAGGAUUGUGUGCCUCAAUUCUAACUCCUGAAGGGGAUGCAAAACAAAAGAGUGAGUGGACCAAAAUUUAUAAUAAUAAUACUAGUAAUAAGAAAAUCAUUUUGUUUCUGAACAUACUAGCUCUUGUUUUGAGAAACAUUAUAUAAUACUACAGAAUAGGUUUUUUUUCCGAAAAAUCUAGCAUGCCAUGAAAAACAUUCAUAAAACACUUACAUAUAAGCCUGUACUCAGAUAUGGUAGUAUAGCUGCGCGAAGGUAAAUUCGUAAAACAUCUGUAAAUCACAUCAAUUAUGUACUCCACUAGGGGUAUCAUAGUCGCCCGAAGGCAUAACAUGUCCAUCACCCGAAGGUGAAGCUGUACGACACCCGAUUACGCCAGUGAAGGAACAUGGUAGGCCCUAUCACCCGAAGGUGAAGCUGUACGACUAUAGGUUACGCUAGAGAAGAAAAAUACCCAAAUAUACAUAACACAUCGACAGUAGCAGUGGCUAGUGAAGCUGUCCGGCACUGGUUUCGCCAGUGAAGUUGGGGGUAUGACAUAAAUAUCAACAAUUGUGUCCUAUGGCCAUAGACGUCUACAUACCCGUGUUGUGUGUAUAUAUUGUAUGAUAACCCACUACAUAAGUACCAAAACGUAUCUCAAAAACUCAUAACAAAUCUCCGGAGCUCAAGGGCUCAAAACAUCAAUUCAUAAACCAUGAUAAAUCAUAUUCAUAAAUUCAUAAUAUAAAUCAUAUUCGUAAUCUAGAGAAUUUCAAAUACAGAAAACCAAUAAUUCAUAACCUUUCGUAAAACAUAAAUUCGAUAAAUCAUAAAUAACGCAUAAAACGUAAGAUUAUGAAAUCAUGCUUUUCGUGAAUGCAUGCCUAAUAUUUUAUAAAACAUGCAAGUUAAGAAGGGGUCCACUCACAGAUAUUCAAUUCUAGGAAAGCCGGUCAAACUAGGGAUGAUAGAAUCACUUCCAAUUGAUGCACCUAAACACAAAUGGAGAUCGUUUAAUAAAACUCUACUAAAACGAUAGAAUUUGGGGAAACGAACAACGGAUUUGGAUUUGGCACGUCGAAAAACCUAAGAAGGGACAUCGGGUUCCCUAACGCGCCAUUGCACGCGCAUAGAUGGUCACUAGAAAGUUUGUCAAAAAAGUCAUUGAUGCCGCCAUGGACGACGGCGGAGCACAGUACCUUCGAUGGAGGCGCGUGUGCUUCAUGCGCCGGCCAUAGCAGCGUCCACGCAUGGCCUAUGAGCUGACCGUGGAAACUGUGUUUCAGGCUCAGGUCGAAUCUGGGCUUAGGUUACUCGGUUAGGCCGAGUUAUAGGGUUGGGCCUUAGUUAAUGGAUUGGAUUUUGGGUCGAGGAUUUGGACCAGAUUUCAUAUUGGAUUUGGGUCUGGUUUUGGGUUGUGGGUCGGGUUGACCCGAUUGGGCUCGGGGCUCACUGGACCCAACGAAGGAGAAUCAGAAUUCUAGGGAUUUUGGCCAAGAAACUUCCUCGGCUCUGAUUUGGGGUUAAAUCUUAACCAUUUCCCACGUUCUACUUACCCUAAGUCAGCAGUGGCCGGAGUUGGCCAGAAUUUGGCUUUCAAGCUAUCUGAUUUAUUGCCAAAAACUAGAGAUUCUAAGAACACAAGCAUGCAUGAAUAAUUAGUCCCAAACUCAACCCUAAUUCAUCAUGAGCAUCUCACGAACAUCGAAAAGAGAAAGGAUCGCAGGCAUCCCGAGUCUUACCUAGGUCGAAGUUGUUAAGAACCUUUAUUGUUCUUGCAUAGCGAUCACAAACUCGAGGGAGAGAAAUAGGGAGAGAAGAUGGUGGUGGUCUGGAGGGUUCAAGUGGUAUAAAGGCUUGCCAAAGAGGCGACGUGAUGUGGUGGUGGUGUUGUGUGUGUGUUGCUUGGAAAGAAUGAGAGAAUGAUAGAGAGAUGAGGGAGAGAUUUCAAGAGAGUUCGAGAGCAUCGGGGGAGAAAACAUGGGGAAGGAGGGAAAGUGGGGUGAACAUGGGGAAGGAGGGAAAGUGGGGUGUGGGCCCCACAGCUCACAAAAAGCAUACACAAGAAUAUCCCCAACAUAAAAUUACCAAAUUGCCCUUCACGUUCGUGAGUCCGUAAAAUCUCCAUCUUAGCACCAAUUUCAAUUUCCCUUAUGCCCAUGUAUUCGUAGUGACGAGUACUACAAGGACAUGCCAAGGAAAAGAACCUUACGUGAUACAACAAGGUAGUCAACAAAAGUCAACGUUUUGCCUUGAAGGGCAUUUUCGUAAUUUCACGCUUAUAAAACUGAAAUAUUUGGGGACAGGUCGUUACAGUGGGCACAGUCUGAUUUAAACAUGUUUCGCACCUAAACUAGUGACCCAACCAAUUAUUAAAUGAUGGAUCAUUUUUGUUCCAUUUUAAAUAAAUCUGGGUGAAAUUAAAUCAAACCAAACCAAAUAUUUGUGUCCAAGUCCAAUCCUUUUUUUCUUUUGCAAUUUUGUUGUUAGUACAUAGGCCAACAUGUACAUGUGAAGAAAAUACGAAUACAAUAAGAAAGGGAUGUUCGGUUGUGAUUUGUAUAGGAUCAAAAUCAUGGUUUUAUCGUUUGGUUCGAUUUUGAGACCGUUUGAAUUGUUGAUGAUCAAUACCGAACCAAAUUGCUCCUUACAAUUUGAACCGAUCAGUUUGAUCCUCACUCCUACAUACAUGUGCAAAAUAUAAAUAAACCAGAAACAGAAAUAAAAAAGAAGGAAUUUCGUCUUUAUUACUUUGUAUUAUGUAUAUUCUGUCAAAUAUAAUCAUUUAAAUUGGGAAAGCUAAUGAACCUUUUUUUUACAGCUUACACAACUUAUCCAAGGAAACAAUGCAGCAUCCUGUACUUAUUCACUGUCAAGAAGAUUAAAUAUAAAUUAAACGUUGUGGAAUAAAAAUCUAAUUAACUUUUGCAGGUUCUGUUGGAUUCGAACCGCCGGGUGGGGCAGGAGCCUUCAGCAGUACUUGCCUGAUAAUCAGAUCCUCAAUAGGGAAGUCCUGAUUAUGCAAAACAUCCUUCUUCACCGUCAUCAACUUGUCUUUCCCAUGAUACAACACUCUGCAGGCCUCAUUCGACUGCGUGUUCACAAGAAAAACCACUACCAUUGCCACCAAAAGUAUAUUUAAAAACUUCAUGUUGUUCCUUGUUUGUCAAACAAUGACUUUAUUAAUUUGCUCUUUUUUUCUUCUCUUUUCUUCUCAAGCUGUAUGCAAUGCAAAUAAAAGAUGGAAAUCGGAAGGAUUGAGUUGCAAUGAAUAAUAAGUGGGGG
rnacentral:lncRNA from 1 species